GAAUUCCUAGACAAAAAUCAUGAAUCUUGGCUGCCCUUAUUUGUUGGGUUGCAAUAGGUUCUUCUACAGGUUCGCUCUCCCCUUUAAUAGCUACAGGUUCUUCAGCAGUAGAAUCUACUAUCAAUGACCUUCCAUUAUGAGAUUUUGGUGCACCGUCUGUGUAACUUAGAGCUGUCUUUAUCCCUGAAUUGGAAAUGUCUGUGGCGCGUUCAUCUUUGCUCAUAACAACUAGAAACUGAAUUACAGAAAAUCUGAGAUUGAUAUCAUUUUCAAGCAGCCACAUAAAAGAAAAAUGAAUUUUCAAUCCACCUUUGCUGCCAAACAUUCAACCAUGACUUUCAUGUAUGUAUUUAAGAAACAUGAUCCUCCAAAACAAAUUCACCAAAUCCAAAGCUACAAAAAAUGAUGCUAAUUUACUAACACCAAUUAGUCAGUGAGUGCAGCAUGAAAGCGACCGGAACUCCAUGAGAAAUAACAAAAAAAGAAAGAAAUGAUCAUGUAACACAAGGAUCCAUAAUACAUCAUGAGAUACAAAAGUACUUAAAUGCAGUCGGUAACUCAGAAAGUACAAGCACGAGAACAGCAGUAAAGUUCACAUGAUUGACGAACAAUCUCCUUCUCAAAGCAUAGUUGCAUGACAAAUAUUUGGCAACUAGUCAAUAUUCCUCCGAAGGAAUAAUCUUUACAUGCUUGCACAUGCUUGUUUUCAUUAGAUGAGCAAUAUACCUAGUGCACCUAUCUUGAGGGUUUUCAAAGUGUUUUAACACAUGUUCCAGAAGUUGGAAAAUAUGUUCAUAAGAUUGUAAGCAAGGCAUUCAGUCAUCAUCAUAGAAAUGUCCAAUGCACAUGCAAGAUUAUCUGCAGAACCCCAAGGAUUCACAGAUGCAAAAUCGGGUCAAGAUCUUAUCUUAAUUCUCAAGUACUUGAUAUGAUGAAAAUGUUCCAUGGUUUUGAUCAUAUUACUUGAAUCAAAAUAAAAGUAACCAAAAUCAUUGGGAGCACAAAUGUGAAUAAACGGUUGUAUUAAAAAUUCACUAAUUUAACCGUAACCCCUUGUCAGAGUCUAAUCCCAUUGCCCGCCCAGCAUUUGGGUUUCAAGGGUUAUUCUUUUGGUUGUUGCCACCCCAUCCCCACAGCCUGUAUUCACCUCAACAUAAACCAUAAUGUCAAAACCAUCUAACUAUUUUCUGCAAAUCGUCAAUUUCUUCCUAGAUGGAAAAAUGAAUACAAACCACUCAUGAUGAUGUCCUACCAAUAAUCAGUAUAAAUUUAUUACUCCAGCAUAGGGAAGGGACAUAAAGCUACCAUUUUUUUCAACUAUCUCCGUUCUGGCAUGCAAAUUUCUCCCAUUUGACCAAUGUACUUCAAAAACGGGGACAAGACCAGAGAGGGGCUGGCAGCUAAGAAUUUUUAAAAACUCAUUUGCCCCCUUAUAUUAAAAGUUUUAUUUGUAUUAUGAACUUAACGUUAAGAAAUUAUUCUGAUCUUAAGUUCUUGCCCCCAAGCUUGAGAAUUUGGUAUUCAGCAGAAAUAUUUUAUACAUUUUACUUUCGCCCCAUAAAAGUUUCAAACACUCUGGUGUAAAUGAAGCUAAUCAAUCCACACACUCUAGUGUUCAAGCUUGUCUGUCUAUCUUAAAGAGUUUCAAAUUGUUUCAAAUUUGACUUAUUUAUUCAUCAAGCUGGAAUUCAGAUGAACUUUUAUCAAGCCAGGCUUGAGUCGAGCUCAUUUGACUUUUUUACAUAUAAAUUCCAAAUUUAUGCUAAUCAAGCCAAUCUCGAGCAGGAUUUGAAAUUUCACCAAAUACAAAAUGUUAUUCAUGUUUGAUUUGAGAUCAAAUGAGCUCUUAGUAAUCCAAGCAUGAUUAGACAAUCAAAUAGUUUGGUUCGUCUUCCAGCCCUAUUUGCAAGUAUAAAAUUGAUAUUAAGUCCGUCUCCUCUAAAUUUGUAUAUUUUCGCCCUCCAAAUUGAAAUCCUGGUUCCUUCGUUGUUUGAAAUCAAGAAUAAAAAAGGUGUCAAACGAAUUAACACUAUUGGAGCACAAAAAAAUUGCAAAGAAAUCAAAUUACCAGUAACUAUAUAUGAUGAUCCUCACUUCAACAGGAGGUAAAAAUCAGAGCUUUGGCAAUAUUUCAUUUUUUUUCUUUAAAUUCACUCCAGAAGGCUACCAGUCUACCACUCUAACAAUGAAGCCAUUAUACAGAAGGGGGAAAAAUUUGGGUUUUUCUUUUUUUGUUUUUUAAUUCAAGUAUGAAAGCAAAAACACAAAUUUCAUUCAAAAAGAACGAAAAGGGAAUUAGUGAAUUUGCCUUGGACCGAAGGAUGGGAUUUGAUCGGGUUUGAAAGCUGAGUUGCUGACCCCGACUAAUGGAGGAGAAGGCUGGCAACUGAGAGAUCGCCACCGAUGCCAUCCUUAACCUUUCCUUCCUUCCUUCCUUCCUUCCCCCGGAUUCCUUCCUUUUUUCCCCCUGAUUCCUUCCUGUUUUUUUGGCUUCUGGGUUUUUGCCUGUGGGAUCUUAGUUCUUCCUGAGAGCAAAAAGGGGGUAAAUUGAAUUGGAAUUCUGGAAGGUGCUGCUAACUGCUGAAAAAAUGUGGUCGCUUUUUGACAGUCUGAACUUGAGCUGAAUUUUUUAUUUUUGGUGGCACGGCCGAAUUUUUAUAAUUUAAUCUAAUCUAAUCUAAAGAGAAGGGAAAGAGGACUCGAUGUGAACAGAUGCUUCAUCGAAAAAAGUCAAUCUAAACUGUUACAGUGGCAAUUCACGAAAGGCAAGGGUUGAACUUUGAGCUCCCACCCCACCAAGACAGACCAAGACUGAAGGUGACCACCCGGCCAAAGGCCCAGCAGCUCUGAACUUGAGCUGAUAUGCAAGCAGUCAAAGUCGAGUUACUAUUGCUUUUUGCACGCUUGAUGUGUACAUGAUUAUAAUAAUAAAGAAAUGAAUACUAAUAUUAAUAUUUUUGACAUUCUAUAUAAAUUCUUCAUUGCUAAAAAACCUUAAAUUCUUAAAUUUUUUUGAACAUAAUAAUUGUUAUAUUGGUAGUUAUAAUGCUUAGGAUUAAUUUUGUUGAAAAGUAAAUAGUUAAAUUUAAAUGCGUUCUUUCAAGAGAAUUAGGGGAAAGGGAAUGAAUUUGGUGAUAUAGGAGGAGGAGGAGAGAUCAAGAGAAUACAAGUGACAAAUAAUUUUUAUACAAAAUUCCAUUUCUCUCCCUUUAUAAUAUUUUGUAUGUAUAUAUGCCCUAAAAUGUUUAUAAUUAGUCACUAGAUUUUCAUAAAAACGAUUCAAUUGUUUGGAUAGUAAUUUUUCAAAAAAUUUUAGAAAACUUGAAAUACAUUCUCCAACAAAUUUUUUUUUUUUUAUCUCACAUACAUAUUUCUAUAAACAAAAAAGUCUUAAUUAGUAUACCAUCUUAAAAAAAAAACAAUUUUCAAUGUAUGUUAUGCCUAAACAUUAUUAAUGAAAAUAUUUUGUGCAUGACUUAUGGUAGAUUGAGCAAUUGUACCUAGAUAAAUUUUGACAUAACAUUGUUUAAUGUAUUUUAUACCACUAUUAAAUUUUGUUAUUACGGAUAGUUUUCUGGGAUUUCCCGAGAAAUUUUUCCAUAAAUGAUUGCUCAUGAAGAUUUAAAAUCCACCAAUUAGAUUAGGGUUUAGAUCUUCUCCAUUAUUUUUUUCUCUUCAUUUAUAUAUCCAUUUUUUAUAUUGAUAUAACUAAAUUUUUUUCACAAUAAUCUGUUUGUUUUGAUAAUUUUAUUUCCGCAAGUAAAUCAACAUAUUUAAAAAUCAGGCUCAUUUGUGAAUAUAACUAUGGGAUAAUUUCAUAAACCACUCCUGAGGUUUCUCACAAUUACAAAGAGCUCCUCUCAAAUUUUAAAAAUUACAUAUACUCCCCUACUUUUACUGUUUAGUAACAAUGUAUGUUUAAGAACUUAGAUUUUCUUUCAAAAAUCCUAAAUUGCCCUUUUGUACCAUAGUAUACUCAAUCAUUUUCUUCCACACUUUGCAUAAAUCAAACAUAUUUAAAAAUCAGGCUCGUUUGUGAAUAUAACUAUGGGAUAAUUUCACAAACCUCUCCUGAGGUUUCUCACAAUUACAAAGAGCUCCUCUCAGAUUUUAAAAAUUAUAUAUACUCUCCUACUUUUACUGUUUAGUAACAAUGUAUGUUUAAGAACUUAGAUUUUCUUUCAAAAAUCCUAAAUUGCCCUUUUGUGCAAAACUAAGAAAAAAAAACAUAGUAUACUCAAUCAUUUUCUUCCACACUUUGCAUAAAUCAACAAGCCAAAUCCCUAAUGACCAUCCAAACAUAAGUUCUAAAAUCAAGUAGUCAUCCAAAAUAUUCCAAAUUGUAUUAUACAGUAUCAAUACUUGCCACGAUAAAAAAAAACACACAAAACCCCAUUGACAACCAAUUUUAUAUUCACAAAUUAAAUGCUCAAAUACCUUUUCAAUAUAAACUAAUUUGACCUAGAACCACCAUUACAACUCUCCUAUGCCCUUCAAAAUAUUAAUUUCUCAAAAGUAAAGAAUAAAUUCUACCUCCAAAAUAAAAUCAUAAUAAAAAAUUUCUAAUCCAAUGAAAGAAAUCAUUAUGUAAUUAUUGACAAUUUAUAAAUUUUUUUUCGUAACAACAAACAAAAUAUGACAAUUUCCAUAGCUUUAGUUCUUUUUCCUAUUUCAAUAAUCAAUUUCAUUAUUUAUUUCUCUAUCACUGCAAGUUUCUUCAUUUCCUUCUAGUUUGACAAUAAUCUACUUUCUUUGUAUAUUUUGUAAUUUUAAUUUCAAAACUGAAGAUAAUAAAAAGAGAUUAUAUUAACUAGAAAAUAGACAAGAGAUGGAAAAAUAAAUUUUUUUAGGUUUUGUAAAUUUAUUGCCUUAAAUUUAAAAUUGUCUACUGAGUGGAGGACAUUAUAGAUAUUUUAUUAUGGAUAAUUUUAGAAACCUCCCUUGAGGUUUUUCCUAAUCAUACCUAGCACCCCUAAAGUUUCUAAAAUCACACUUAGCACCCUUAGAAUAACAACUUUUGUAACAUAUCAACCCCUUUAGGUAAAAAUUGUAUUAAAAAUGUAUUUAGAAGAGCAAGUUGAUUUUUGAAAACUAGAAGAUGAAAAUAAAAACAAGUUGAUUCUUUUUCAGCCUUUUUCAUAUUUCUUAUGUAGGAAAAGGCAAGAAAAAAGAAAAAAUAUUUAUGUUCAAUUAUGUAAAAAUAAAGUAACAAAAAUGCCAUAAAAUUUGGGUACAUUUUGGGCCUUUGUUUUGCAUAUGCAACUGAAGAUAGGUUUUGAGGUACUUAGAUAAUCUAAACAUAGAAAAUCUAUCUUUUUUUUUACUACGAUUUUAUCUUGUUAUCUAGUUUAAUCAUUAAGAGGUGAGGAAAAAAUAGGUUAAAAUCAUUCAUUUGGUGAUAAAAGGCUGGGAUGUAGUUGAAAUAAUGAUAAAAUGCAUAUUAAAUAUACCUAUAAUGGUGUUCAAUUAUCAAAAACAAAAUUUUUCAAAAAUUGGUUAACAAACAAUAUUCAAAAAUUUUUAUUUCCUUUCUAUCCAAAACUUUCGCACAAACCUUAUAACAGUCAUAUGAAUCAACAAAAAUUAUACAAUUCAAUAGUUAUUGUACUUACAUCCCCUCAAUUUUAAUGUAAAUAUUGCAGUUCUAUUUGUUUUUAUUUUCAUCUUCUAAAAUUCAAAAAUCAACUUGCAAAAGGGCAAACUUGAAAGAAUAUUAUAGUAUCUCUCCUAAAUACAUUUUUUAAUAUUAGUUUUACAUAACAGGGCUAACAUGUUACAAUGGUUGUCAUUCUAAGGGCGCUAAGUGUGAUUUCAGAAACUUGAGGGGUGUUAGGUGUGAUUAGAAAAAACCUCAAGGGAGGUUUCUGAAAUUAUCCCAUUUUAUUAUGUCAAGAGAAAUAAGUAUAAUUUUUUAAACCUGAAGGAAGCCGGGUGAAAUUAUAAACUUCAAGGGAGGUUUCUGAAAUUAUCCGUGUAACUAUUGUUGAUGGGCUGAGCAAUGACAGAGGGAAGGGGAAAGUAGAAGAAAUCUUAAUCCAGUGAGUGGCACUUCAUGGUCUGAAUUCAUUUUGUGGAUUUGUUGCUCGACUAUAUAUGACUCAGUUCUUAGGUACAUCAAAGCAUCCGAGCGGUCUUAAAAGCAAUUUAUUCUAUUUCGAAGCUCAAAAAAAAAAAAAACCUCCUGGUUUACAACGCGAAAGUAUAUUGCGAUAUAUCUUUACGACAAAUUAAAGGUGUGGAAUAAUUAUAUCUUCAUCACAAAUUAGGAGUGUGAGAUUUAUCAAAUAAAAAUUCUAAAAUUUUUAAUUGUGUGUUUCAUUCUCAGAUUUCCUUUAUUGCUUUAUAUUGCCCCUAUAAUGUUUAAUUUGAAAAUGGUUGCUGAGUCAUUUUGUGUUGGUUACAGGGAUUGAAUCUUACAUAUGAGGAGAUGAUUCCUGAGACAGUUGGAAGGCAUUGCUGCAGGCAUAUAUGCAGCAACUUUAAGAGUCAAUUUCCAGGUAUCUUAUUUAGCAGUUUCUUUUGGAAGGCAGCGAAAAACUAUGAUGCAAUAGGACAUAAUGAUGCAAUGGAUAGCAUUAAAGACUUUAACAUAAAUGCUUGGAAAUAUUUGGAUAAAAUUCCAAAAACUACCUGGUGUAGACAUGUAUUCUCAACUGAGUUAAAAUGUGACCAUGUCACAAAUAAUUUUAUUGAGUCUUUUAAUGCUUGGAUUGGUGAUCUAAGAAGAAAAUCAAUACUAACUUUGGUUGAUAAUUUAAGAAGAAAGUUCACGAAAAAAAUGCACAAAAGGUACUAGAAAAGUUGCAUCUUGACUGGUCACAUUACUCCCAAAAUUGUUGAGAAAUUGAAAAAAAUUAGCCAAGCAUCAAGAAAAUGUGAGAUGCAUAUGGCUAGUGAGGAUACAUUUGAGGUUGGUGAUAUGGACAGGACCUACAUAGUCAACUUGAGGCAAAGAAUCUAUGACUAUGGUGCUUUUCAAAUUUCUCGAAUUCUAUGCAAACAUGCAACAUUAGGAGCUAUGUAUAGGAGAAAAAAACUAAAGAACUACUGUAAAGUUUGGUUCACUAAAGACAUGUAUUUAAAAACAUACUCGCACAUGAUUCAUCCCAUUCCUGAUGUCAAGAGAUAGCCUCCUAUACCUGAUGUGCUACCUGUGACCAUCUUGCCACCACCUCUGAGAAGAGCUCCUGACAGACGAAGAGUAAAUAGAAGAAGGGAAUCUGAUAAAACUGCUUGCACAGCACAGGCAAAGAGGUUAAGCACUCUUAAGUGUGAAAAUUGUGGAGCUUUUGGUCAUAAUAAAAUGAUUUGCAAAGGAGCACCUGUGCAGAAAAGCUCUAGCAACACUACUCCUACUGAACAGGUAUACAUUGCCCAAAAUAUGACAUUAUCCCUGUCUCCUAAUUAUUACUUAUAGGUAUAUUGAAUUUGGUAUCACAUAUGGCAAUUAGAAGAGGUAGACCUGGUAGAGGAAUGGCUAAUACAUCUCUCUCAGGAGCAGUUCUUUGCGUAAAGUACAGUUAUCAUAAUCAAAAUUGAGUCACCUGAGUAGUUUAUCUACAGCCUGUCUCAUUGCAGCUUAUAUCUCAUGUUUUAGGAUCAUGCAUAUAGUGCUUAUCCUGUUGUGCACUCCAGUCAAGGGAGUAAUCCAAGCCUUCCAAGUCAAAAUGGUGUAGCACAUAGUCAAGUGAAUGUGCAAACUACUGCAACUAUUCAUGCUAAUAGAAAGGUAUGAUCCUAAUAUGCUAUUCCAAAUUUCUGUUAAUAACAUAAUUGGUAGCUAUUAUUUCCUAUUUCUGAUGUAAUUUAUGUCUCAAAUGUAACAGAGAGGAAGGCGUUUUGGAUACAAUCCUGCAACUUCUGCAACAAGAAUUGAUGGUAGAACAAAAAACUUCAACUCUGCUCUAACUAAUCCAGUUGUUCCAGUUCCACCUACCACUACAUCUCAAAAUGCUACAUCUGUUAGCAUAAACGCAUCUACAAAUAGCACACCAAUCAGUAAUACCAAUAGUUUCAGCAUGCUGUUUUGACAAGAUGGUGCUGAAUUCCAGUUGUUAGUUAUGUCUACUUGAAUCUCUUUUGUUGCUGCUUUUGUUAAUGCCUUCUUACAGUGAUUAAGAACUGAGAAAUUGCAAUCCUCACUAUCUGCAUAUAGUGUUUUGAUGCAGAUGGUGUUUUGUACUGUUGGAUUGCAAUGAUUAAGAACUCGUGAUACUGUAUAACUAAUAUGCAACUGGCAUUUUAGCUAAUGUAAUGUUCUGCAUUUGAUCUUUAAUCUGUCUUUUUGUUUAUUUUUCACACAAUGUUGUUUGCAAACUUGGCAUAGUGGAUGACAAAUCAGAAAUAAUGUAGCUAUUCAUUGCUUCAUUCUGAAGUCUAAAAAGCUGUAUACACAGUUUCACAUUGGUGCUUCAAAAAUUCCAAGUAACUUAGCCUUCUGGUAUGAAUCUCCUAUCACCAAAAAGGCAUCAUAUUACUUGGUACAGUAUUGCAGCACAGCAACAUGAGUUGAUCGAAUUGAUUAUACAAUUUGAAUGAAAAUAAAUAUAGAUAAUAGGGUGAGGUUUAUGAUGAUCAGUGCAUUGCCUAAGGGUCCUGGUAUCAAAAAUUGCUUUGGCUGUUGCAUUGGCCCCACAACUUGCCUAACUGGAAUGCCAUCUCCAUUUCUGGCAUUAACUUGUUCUCUUUCUGCAUUGAGGUUGUUUCUUCUACUAUUUGCUUCUUUUUCUUCACCGCUAUACCAUUCAAAGUACAUGCAUUUUGCACAACAGAAAUACAACUUGUUUGGAUUCCUUUCAUUCUCUGAUAUCAUUAUGGUUGCCUUGCGAUUACAACGGCAAAACCUAUUUUUAAUGGAGAAAGAUGUGGGUGAAUUCCAUGAUUCUCCCAUAUGGCUUGAAGAGGCCAUGGUUGCAGUUAAAACUUUUAACUCAGAGCUUUAAUUGCAGCAUAGCAAAUUCACUUUGUUAUCACUCCAAAUCAAUAGCAAAAAAUGAUAAUAGCUUUAAACCUCAGAGGUAGUUAAGUUGCUUUACUUUAUAUGCUAUUGCUACUGAAACAGCAAACCUUCUGGCCAUUGCAAAAUCUGCCAAAUAACUGUUGCAUGACACAUAUGGUUUCUGUCAAUUUUUUGUAUUGCACUUACACCCCCUCAACUUUAGUAAUCAGUCCAAAUCAUUUAUUUUUCUUUGAAUCUUCUACUAAUACAAGGAGCAAAAGGGUAGCCAUGGAAUAAAAAUACAUUCUCACACAUGAAAAUAAUAUUGUAAUCUGAUUUGGACUGCAUUGUUACCACAAAAUCAAAAGCAAGGGAGCUAAGUGAAAUUUAGAGAACCUCAGGGGAUGUCAGUGAAAGUGUCAGAAACCUCAGGGGAGGUUUCUGAAAUUAUCCCUUUGCAAAAUUAUACUAAUCUAAAAAGUUUUAAAAACAAGGAAAAAUUGUUCAAAACGUCUCUCACAUUUUACAAGAUGAUUUUUUCGCCCCCCAACUUCUAAAAGUAUAAGUUUACGUCUCUUACAAAUUCACAUUGACUAAAUUUGGUCUCUAUCUAGGUUUCUGACUAGUUUUUUGUCGAAAUCCACCACAUGACUUGCAUGUGAUCAUUUUUUAAGCGCAAAAUUAUCAAAUCAAAUUUUGACAUAAUCUGAUUCAUAGUCCCUCACAUUUCACAAAGAAUGAAACUUUUAUUCCAUAAAAAAGUUUUAGGGUAUAUUAAAAAAAUACUUUAAUAAGAGAAUGAAACUUUUAUUUAAUAAAAAAGUUGUACUCAUAAACAUUGAAAACAAUUAAAUGUUGGAAAUAAUUAACAUGCACAUUCAAUAUUCAAAAAGUUUACAUUCAAUGUAUUAUUUAUUUGACAAAAAUACAUUUAUUAUACAAAUAAGCAACAAUUCAAUAUAUUAGAUAACACAAAUAAGCAACAAAAAUUAUAUUAACGAUUAUAAGAUUUAGUAAAAUAAACACACUAACCUCUCUUGAUAUGAGAAUUUUUUUUGUCAUUGUGAAGUUCUAUCAAUCACAAAAUGGUGUUAUUUGGUAUAUCAAUUGGUUCUUUUGUAAUUGUAAGUCACUGUUCACCAUUAAAGAAAUUUCUAACAAUUGUUUUCAUUAAUUAGUACUCUAAUUACUCAAUAGUCAAAUACUAAUUUCUAAUAAGAUAUAAUGUCUUAGAGUAUAUGAAUAAAUUCUCCCUAUAUGAUGUAAGUAAUUGGGUCCACAAUACUGUCAGGAGAGGUCAAUGUAAUUUUAUAAAUCUUAAGAGAUGUUAGUAAAAAAAAACCUCAAGGAAGGUUUCUAAAAUUAUUUCAAUUUAUAAAUUAGGAUUGUGUAGUUUGAAAUUCUUCUCCUCUAAAUUUUUCUAGUGGGAGUUUUAUUCUCUCAUACGAUAUUCUUAUAAAAGUGUUUUUCAUUUUUCAUCUUUUUUAAGUUGGUGAGAUUAAAGACAUGGACACAGAUUUGUUGAAUUGUAGUGACAUUCAUCUGAUAGAAGAUAUUAUUGAAGUUUCAACGUUAUGAUUAACUUUAUAGUUUUUCAUAUCUAUUGUAUCUUUUUUUUUUUGGAUAAAAAAGAAGCCAAUAUUAGUAAUAAACUAGUUAUAAAUUAUCCAACAUAAUUUACUUAACAAAAAAAAAUUGUACUAAUGGUAUAAAAUAUAAAGAACAUGUCACAAACAGAUAUAUCUAAUUUGAAAAAUACAUAGAACACAUUGCUUAUUUUGGUAGAUUCUUAUCCCUCCUAUUCUCCAGUUGUUAUCUAUAAUAUUUUUCUUCUUUUUAAUGUAGUUGACCUUUCUCAAAAAAAAAAGUCAUAGAUAUAUCUGAUUUGAAAAUCAUUAGAUUUAACAGAAUUAUAAGAUGAGAAAGAUUAUACUAUGAACAACAAACCAUCAGAUAUGAUCAAUUACACGAAUUGCUCCAUAAAUAUCUAUGCAAGUCUAUUCCCUCAAAUAUGUUAUCAAACUAGUUCAAGUUCAAAACUGAUAUUAACAUCUAAUUAGAAGAUGCAUGAAAUUUCAGAUCUAAUAUAUAGAUCCAAAAACUCUUAGAUUUGAGAAAAAAAACAACAAAACUCUAAACAAAACUUCCAUUGGGACAGCAUAUAGGAGAUCGCUAAUAAAUAGUAGGAUAAACACUAGAAAAGAGAAAACUCUCGCUAGGAUAUCUUAGGAAAUGUUUUAUUAACAUUAAAAGAAAAAACAGAGAAGAAAAGAGAUCUUGACUUGAAAUCAAUAUCUCCCUCAUAUGGAAGAAGAACAAUAGAGAGAAAGUUGAGCGGAGAAAGAAAGCAGAAUGAAUGGGUUAGUAGUAGCGUUAUAAUAGGUUUAGAGAUCUAUUGCAUCAUUUAAUUUUCAAAUCUAUAUAGAUUCGUGUCAUAUUUGAUGUGUUUACUACUAUUAGUGUAGAAAUUGAAAUGAAAUUGUCAUUUUUAUCCAAAAAUGGAUAGUACAUUAUCAUAAUUCAUAAAUUGAGGUUCAAAUUAAAAUCAAUGGUAAUAUAGACAGAAUUUUCAUUUAACUUUAUAUCUAGUAGAAACAAUUGGCACAAUUUCACAUUUUCUUUCAAGGGGAAUUGCAUGCUUUAAUAUCUACAAUUGAAAUUAGAGUUGAACAAAUUUGUAACUUCAAUUAUUUGUUGCAAUCAACUUUGUGAUUACCAAUCCUAUAAUUUAUUCUUAUGCAUCAAUUUUCUCUUUCUAUCUCUCAUUUCUUUCUAUUUCUUCUCAUUUUCUCAUAAGGCUUUCCUCUUCACGCGGGAGACCAUGGUGUCCCUCUUAUGAAUUUCAUUUUAUUGUUUUUUUUAAUAAAAUUUCUUUUAGGGGGUUUGUAGUAAGAGUCAUUUGUUUCUCCUAGGGGUUCCUAAUAAAAGUCCUUCAUUUCUCUUAAGAAUUUCUAGUAAGAAUUUUUUGUUUGUUCCUAAAAGUUUCUAGUGAGAAAUUUCUGCUUUUAUUCUUAUUUUAUUAUUUGAUCUCAAUUUAUUUCAAAUUUGGUUGUCAAAGGUAGAGUUUGAGUUUUGGGACUAUCUCAACAGAUCUUAUCAUCAUUAUUGGAGUUUGAAAUCGUUGAUUAGCAGAUUUGGCGGUUGAAACAUGCACAGGAGGAAACUUCAGCAAUUUAUUUUAUUAGAAAACGAUUUAAAGAUUUCUUGUAUUUUCAAAUCUAUUCAAAAUCAUUCAUUUCUAUUGUAUCUGUUGUUAAAUUGCAGAUCUAUUAUUUCAAGUGUAUGUUUAAUAUGCUACUAGGGUAGAGAUGUAAAUCAAUUUGUGCUAGACAUCUUCUAACAAUUUGCUAAUGGAUUUUACUAUUCAUAAAAAAACCAACCUUAUAAUUUGGUAGACCCAAUUUACAUAUUAAUAACGAUUUAGCGAUAUCACGUGAAUUUUUCAAUAACGCUCUACUUGGAUGAGUUUGAGAAAUAUGUUUUUGAAAAAGUUUAAACACAUUUCAACCACAUUUUAACACAACAGAUGCUAGAAUUUUGAGAAUUACAAAUAUAUUAGAACUCUCUCAAUCUUUAAUUUUGUAUAGCUAGACAUGUUAGAAAUAGGCAACAAUCUAUAUCUAUAUAAAUUUGAGAAGGGAUUUUUAGCAACAAGCCUUCACAAUCCUUUCCAUUCUCAACUCUAUUUUUAUAGCAUUUUACAUUUAAUUUAUUUUGUAAAAAACAUCAUGGGCACAUUACACCCCCACGUUUUCCUCAAACAAGAAGUUAAUUCUAAUUAAACACUCCCACGUCCUCUUAAACAAGAAGUUAAUUCCAACUAACUCUCCUCACACAUCUUCCCACUACAAUUAAACUUCUUCCAAUCCAAUUCCAUGAUAAGAUUGAGUAAGAUCUCUUUCCACUUGCUGUUGGUAUUCUUAUUAGCCCACUCGUGUCAGAUGGUCGUCAUGCCACUACUGAUUCCCGUAAAGGUAAUUCAAUUUAUUUUCACUUUAUUUUAUUUAAUUUUUGUAGUUUAUCAAUAAAUAUAGUACAUUGUGCAUGACUGUCACUUUAUACUAUUCGAGCAAGCAAAUUGUAUGUCAAUUACUACUUGGAUUUCGCUCAAUACCUACACAGUUGGUAAGUUUUACAACUACCAAAAUAUUAAAUUAUUAAUAAUAUUUCAUACUCUUGUGAAUAUAUAUUUGAAAAAUUUGCAGGUUUGAGAAUCAUAAAUAUGCUCAGAAAUUAGUGACGUGGUUGCGGUCAUGUAGUUUUAUAAUGUCCCAAGCAUUAUUGAUAUCAAAUGCUAAGAGAAUGUGGAUAUCCGAAUAUGUAGUUAUACCUACGGUACUGUAGACACCAAAUUUUUGAAUUAAUUUUGUAUGUUUGGUUUUAGUGAUAAUUGGUUGAUUUUUGUUUAGACGGUUUUGCAUUUUAGUUCAUUUUCGUUUGUCUAGCUUUUUUAGGUUUUAUUUUAUUUUUAUUCCCUUUUUAGUUUUUAGUUGUUUUUGUAGUUUUUAAUUUAUAAGUUUUAGCGUAGAUUUUUUUUAGAGAAAAAAAAAGAGAGAAAAGUGAAAAUAAACAAAAAAAAGGGGGAAAAAGAAAAGGGAAAAAUGGUUUAAUGCAUACUGGCCUAUUUUUGAAAAAAAAAAGUGAAAAGUUUGAAAUUUGAAGAAAAAGUUUUUUAGUGUAAUAGGCAUUAUUUACUUUUUGAUACAUUUUAAUUGUUUUUCAAAGAAAAGAGGAAAAAAUAUAUAUUAUUAUUUCAGGUUACAAGCAUUUGUGUUUUUGAUUGCAUUUUAUUGUUAUUUCUUUAUUGUUAUUUUUAUUUAAGUAAAGAAAAGAAAAAAAGAAAAAAAGAAAAUGGAUGAAAAAUGAAAGUUGUAAUUUGCUGUUCAAUAUCAAUUUCUGUUAUUAUAAAUUUUUGUUAUUAUCAUUUAUUUCAUUUUUAUUGUUAUUAAUUUCUGUUUUAAUUAGCUGAAAAAAAAAGAAAAAAGGAAAAUUGUUGCCGCAGCAUGAAAGCUGCGGACUUGCGCCGUUUGCAAAGAAAUCUGGGACGGCUCCUUAGCUGCAAAUUUUGGAGAGUAUAGCUGAGGGUUUAGGAGGGGGGGUUCCUGGUAUAAAUAGCAAAAAGAAAAGGCAGCCGCAGGAGGAAGAAAAGAUACGAGAGGUUUGACGGCUGAAAAAAAAAUUCUGGAAAAACUAGAGGAACCGGACAGAGUGGGCGGCUGAGAGUUUGAGAGCUUCGUGAGAGAGGGCGAGAGAAGGAGGAAACAACGGCUGGGGUUGAGCAGUGAAGAAAAAGGUCAGCUUUGAGAGAGUGGAGGGGGAAAAAGGAUAGAGCAGCAGCCGGAAGAGAAAAAUAAGAGAGGGGAGCAAAACAGAAAACCGGGAGCAAGAGUGAGGGAGUAACGACAGGAGGUUCUUGGAUGUGAAGGAGAGGGCGAACGAGAGAACGAUAGAGAGAGAGAAAAAAGGGAGGAUCUUCAAAAAAAAAAAGAAAAGAAGAAAACAUCAGAAACGAGAAAAGAAAAACCGACAGGCUUGAGAGAGGUCGGCGGCUGCUGGAACAAACGGUAAAAGAAAAGCUCCAGAGAGGGAAAGGGUAGCUGCGGUUGGAGGUUGCAGGAAGACGGCGACUGGGUUUUCAUUCAUCAAAGUCUCACGUUCCUUUGAGCGUCUAAAAGAAUCACUUGAGCCCUUUUCUGGUCAUCCCACGUUCCCUUCCUUGAUCAAGGUAUUGUGUUCACCCUUUUAUAGUUGAAAGUUGCUUGUUUUAAUUGGUCGUUGGCAUCUCUUUGCCGUUUACUGGUUCAGUUUCGGAUGCAAUAUGAUUGAUAGUUCUUAUUUGGGUAAUGAAGAAUCUGAAGUUUGGGGGCUAAUGAAAUGAAGGUUCCAUUCGGGUUUUUUAUGAAAACAUACGCAUGAGAGGAGCCUCGAGAUUCCCAGUAGAAAGUUUGCAGCUUUGAUCUUUACAUGCUUGUUUCCCUUCAUCUUUUUGCUGUCUUUUGUGUCGGAUUAUGACUUAGUACAUACCUGUCACGUAAGGUUGCUAAAAAAACUCAAGGCAUCAGGGGUUGAAAAGUUUUUUUUUUUGUUGCGAGGAAAGCUUGCUGUCAAUGCUUCCUGUAUGUCGGUUCUUUGCUUUUUGGUUGGGUGUAAAUUUAGAGCUGGGAAGGCCUUGUUAGCCCGUCAUCUUGAUUACCAUUAGGAAGAGCUAAACAGGGUUUUGUCAUUCAAUUUGCUGUUUAACCUCAUGUUGAAAAGAAUGCAGAUUGCUUGAUGUUGCUGUUGUCGCUUUCUUGAAUUUUUGUCCAGCUGAGAUUCGAUGCAUAAUUUUCUGCUGCAACAAGCUUGAAGCUCUCGGCUUGUUGCAGCAGCAUGGACAGACCCUUUCUUUUUUCUUGGUUUCCUGAAGCUUUAGCUUUGCUUAACAUGUCUGAUCUGCUUGCCAUUUGCCUGAGAUGUCAUGAGAAUGGUUGGGAGCUUAGUAGUGGAGGCUUGUAGUUCGCUUGAUUUGUAGUUGCUGAAAGGAAAACCUUGCUGCAGUUUUCUUUAUUUCUUUUGUUGUCGAUCAAAACCAGAUUUGCCAUCUUAAUCCUGCAAACAAAAUUUCAUGUUUUAAUUUGGGUCAAUAAUUUCUGGUUUGAUGAAUUUGUUUGUAUGAUGAAAUGGGUGUAUUUGCUGCUGAAAAAUUGCUGAAGUUUGUAUGUUUGAGUCCUUAAAGCAUUUGAACCAUAAUCAAAAACAUUGCUGGAAUUUGAACGAGAUCAGGAUUGCUGAACCUUUUUGCAUAAAAUUUUCCAGCAUUUGCAUGUUUUUCCUUCUAUGCUUUGGUUUGUUUGAAUGCUGAAGUUGUGUGUUGUGUGGCUUGACUCAAAGUUUGGACAUGGGUUUGAGAGAAUUUGUCCAAAGUUUGUGUUAGUUUCUUCUGAAAUCUGAAUGAAGAUGAAAAUUGCAGCAAACUCUCCCUUUCUGUCUUAGUAGCUUCAUCCGCAAAUCUGCAUGAAAAGUUUAAUAAGUUGCGUGGUUUCUUUCCAAGUUCAUUGUUCAUUGGAUUAUGGUAUUAAUAUGUGUUGAAGUAAUGAUUUUGUUUGGGUGAAAAGUUUGGUUAAAGAUGGUUUGCUGAAGUCCAAAAUUUGCGUUAGAAAAAUGCAGCAAGGUUGUUGCAGAAGAAAAGAUUCUGCGUAUGUUGCAUGAGCUUCAUGAAAAUGUUUUCUGAAUUUUGCCUUUUGAUCCCCAAGUUCCCCUUUGUUGCACUGUGGCCCAAUUAUGUUUUAAUUUCUUGCAAUUAAGUCCUAGAAUAAUUGCACUUUGACCACCAAGUCCCCUCUUGACUCACUAUGGCCCAAGUAAUUGGAACACUUAAUCAAUUCGAUCCCUCAAGUUUCUCCAUGUUCCACAAAAGCCAAGCAUGUUCCAACUUCUUGCAAAUGGGUUUUAGAAUAAUGCAUUUUAAGCCAUUACUUGACUUUUUCUUUGCCUUUGGACCCCUGAAGCUUUUAAGAAUGUUUGAUUAAGCUUGAAUGCUUGGCUAGUGUUCACAUUUGAGUCUUUGGUAGCAUUAACGUUUCAAUUCAAUUGCUUGUUUGCCUUCAUUGGUUAUCAUGUUUUGCUAAGGUGAUACUUAAUGCAAGAGUUUAAGGGCUUUAUGACCAAGUGAGCUUGUGUUUGCCAAUUUUCUUUAAUUUUCCCCAAAUAAAUUGGUACCUUAACCAUUUCUUUUAUUUUGGAGGAUAAAUAAGUGAUUUCACUCCAUUUAGAGCAUCAAUUCAAGGGGGCGGUAUAAUUUCUUUUAUCCCUCUUUGUAUCUCUCCUAUGUGACUCAACGUGCUAAGUGAAUUGCAUGUCUACUUUGCUUUCCUAGCUUUUCUUUAAUUCCUUUUACUUAUGUCAUUUACUUUUUGUUUUCAUUAAGUUAUUCUUUUAAUGGGGUAUGUGUACACCUCUUGGCUUCUAAUAGAUAGGGCUGUGGCGAGCAAUUUGGUCCAUUUUCCCUUUCCCCUUUUUGUUUUAGUUAGUGAAUGUAAUAGGUUCAUUAGCUUGGUUGCAUGCCUACGUGUUAAGUGUUAAUUUGCUUUGUUAGGGCCUUGCAUCUAGUCGAGCAUGCUAAAUGUUAUGUGCUAUGUGUUUAUGAGUGUUUGGCAUGUCUACUCGCUUUCCAUAGCCAUGAAUGAAUAUGAUGGAUGAAUGUACGUUUCCGCUAGUCCAACGCUAGUCGGAAUUCAUAGAAUGGGCUAGUCCAACGCUAGACCCUUAGGGAUUUCCCCUCGUUAGUACAUGUUUGCAUGUUCAUUACAUGUCAUGCAUUCUUUUUAGUUUUAUCAUUUUUGCAUGCUCCUCGAACCCCUUUUCCCCUCAUUUUAGGAUUUUGCAUUUCAUACUAGUUAUAAGGUAUACUUGCGUGAGAGUCCCCUCCGAUAAGGGAAACGAGCGAGUGUGGCUACUCGAUAGCCUUAGCACGCUAGUUUUGCCUUCUAAUCAAAGGGAAAAUCGAAGUCGAAAAAGUUAGGAGUCAUUCCCACACCCGACCUGAUGCAUUCCUUUAGGUUCAUUCAUUCUCAUUUAUCACUUACUCAUUUUUUUCCAAUUCACAUUUCCUCAUCACUUUUCCUUUUCUUAUUGUUCAAUUUGAUUUCUACUUCACAAAAUUGCACUUAAUUUCACCUAUAUGCACUUAUCACUAUAUUUCAUACACUUGCACACAAACACUUGGAUUUUUUAUACAAUUUCACACGUUCACCUUUUUAUACACUUGCACACUUGCACUUUAGCCAUCAUUUGCAUUAAUCGACCUCUAUAAGGUUUUCCUUUAUUGGCCGCCACAAUUCAUGUGGUUGGGACCAAAAACCUUUCAAGAGACAUUUUAGAAUUUAGGUUUGCAUUUUUUCCUUCUUUUUGCAUUCAUGUAGUGCAUCCAAAUGUAAUAAAUUCUUUGGUUAAAACAAGAAAAUCUUUGAUUAAAUCAUGCAACUAGCCUUGGUUAGGUCAAAGGGGUGCCUUGGAUUUUAUCCUUGCCUUCCUCUUUGUCAAAUGUGACUCCCGAACCUUUUUCAUUGGUUUACGUAGAUUAGGAGUCGUUUAAAAAGGGUUUCUCACUACUUUUUCCUAUUUUUCUUUAAAAAUACAUUUUUUAGGUGACUUGGUACACCUUAACUCAUUACCAAGUGGCGACUCCGUAUUUAGUUUUAAAAACCCUUUUUAAACUAUAAUUUUGGGUCAAAUCGUCGCAUUCUCAAAACCCCAUUUAGACGCAUUUUUCUUUUAAAUCACGAUUCAUUUUCCAAUCACAAAAAUACAUUUUUAAACCAUUCAUUUAUUUAUCAAAAAAUGGGGCGCGACAGGUACAAUUCCUCUCAAUUAAUUAAGUAAUGAACAAGUAUCUACAUGUAGUUUCGAAUUAAUAAUUGUGAUCUAUACAUUCUUCGGAUUGUUUUAAAUUAAAUAUUUUCGAAUACUUGCUUACAUUCAAAGUAUCAACAUAGACAAUAUGUUCCAUGAGUUAUGCAAAAAUUGUGGACAACCAUGUCAAUCUCAUUUUGCAAAAAUGGUGGUAUCCACUGUAAUGACGUAAUCGACACUAUUGUCAGGUAAUUAUUUUCAUAUAUUUUGAAUUUUAAUAUAAUUUUUUACUUCAUACAUCACAAUUUCUUCUUAACAGGUACGAUGUUAACAUAGAAGUUAGAGAUUUCGGUGGUAACUUAUACCUCGCUCUUCAAGACAGACAUGCACGAUUCAUGUUUCAUUGUGAUGCUUUUUAUCUUAGAGAUUUAAAAACAAAGGUAUACAUUAUUUAUAUGUAUAUAUUUUUAUACAAUAUUAUUUACAAACUGUCUAAAACAAAAGAUAAUUUUGAAUUAUGUAUGCUUUUAAUUGUCAAGAAAAUGGAGGUGCAUUGUUCGACCAACACAUUAAUUUAUGCAAAAAUCGUGCAUUCUCAUUUAUAGUAUGAACUCCACAAAAAUCAACAGAAUUCAUUAAACCCUCAAUACUGGCGUUCGUACUCAGAGUCGAUUGGUGUGAAGAAUGUUCACGCCUUCGUAGAAGAUUAUCAAAUCGAAGGCAAAAUGUUUGUAAGUAUUUAAUUUAUUUAUCAAAUUAAAUAUUCAAUUAUAUUUAAUUAGAGCCUUAUGUCGCUCAAUUUAUGAUAUAGAUUUCUAUUUUUUUUUUCAGGAUCCAACAUUCAUCAAAGUGAUAGUCUAUAAGUAAUGGAGAUGUUUUUAUCAUAUAUUGAAUUAUUGUUAUAAAGUUUCAUUUUUUAAAAAAUAUACUUUCAUGUGCCCGUGAUUAUAACAUUUUACUAUUUUUAAAUUCCUCUAUAAAUUGUAAUUUUUUUUCAAAAAUGUAAUCUACUGUGCGUGGCACGGGUAUUUAUACUAGUUUCUACAAAUCAAGAAGUAAAAAUGGCUUUAUUUUAGGAACAAGAGAUAAAAUGGCGAUACACAGAAAAAAUAGUGGCUAAGAAUUGUUUCUAAAUUUGAAGUGUCUUCACAAUCCUAUUUUUUCAAAUUCUUUAUCAUGUAUUACACAAUACUUGAACGAAUUAAUACAUUGCUUUACAAAUAGUACUAGGACCUCUUUAUUGUUGGAGACAAUUAAGUGGAGAUUUGAACAAGCCUACUCGAAUUUUCUUUAGGUGAGUUGGAGGCCAAAACCAGAUUUACAUAGUUUUAUUCAUUGUUGGAGACAAUUAAGUGGCGAUUUGAACUAGUCAAAUCCCGCAAUUGAUUGUAUAGAAAGUGUGCAGUGAGAGGUGGAAGGGUUAAAAAAAAAGUGGAGAUUUAGGCCUUGUUUAAUAACUCAAUUCAAUAUUGAAACUUAAUGGAUUCAUAUCUUAAUAUAUUCAGACUAUUUGAUCUUAAUAUAUUCAGAUUGUUUGAUAAUAAAAAAUUGAACAUAUGAAUUAAUUAAAUGGCACUAAAUUUUCUAAACAAAACUUGCUUUUAAAAUUAAGUGAUAAGUGAAUAACUUAUCACUUAAUAUGAUAUGCACUUAAAUGUAUUAUAUUUAAUAUUUAACAACUUAAUAAUUUAAUAGAUUCAAAAUUCAGAUUUCAGAUUUCAGUUUUAUCAAACUACUUUAUUAAACAAGCAGGCUUGAAUAUUUUUACGUGAGUUGGAGGCCAAAACUAGAUUUACAUAAUUUUGUUACGGUUCAUAUCUAUUAGAGUAUUGUUUUUUUUUAGGCAUUUACCAUGCUUUCCUAGAAUAUCGGCAUGUGAAUUUUGUGUUUGGAUAGUAGAUUAAUUGGAAUAGUUUAAAAAAAAUACUAUAAUAUUUUUUUGAUGUGAUAUAUGUAAAAUAAAAAUAUAAUUAAAAAAUAGGUUAACAAUGCAAACAAAUAAAUAUUUACGAAUGAUCCACUGUCCAAAACAUUUAAAUGAGCCUGCAUGCACAUCCAUGGGGAUUUAGAAACUAGGAGUAAACCAGUUAUUGGGUCCAGAGAAUUAAUGGCACGGCUUUUAAGUCCAUUAGCCUUUCACAUAAAGCACAUCGUCCAAGACACCCAUCUUGCAACCGAUUAUCAUCCAAUCACUCGAACGGAGGCUCAACAUUCCUGCCCAUAGAGCCGACAACAUAGUCCAGAGCCCAUCAAGCCUGCGCACCAAAAACCCCUAGAAUUGAUGAGAAAUCAGCAGGCAGCAGCGUGGCAUGGAACGCCAGUGUAACGUGGCAUACACAAGUCUCAUACACGUUAUUUCCUGCACUUUGCAACACCUCUAAAAUCACAUUAUCAUUCAUGUUUGAAAAUUCGGGUGAAAAAGUUGUAGAACUUUGCAGAUUUUCCUGGAGUUUCCAAGAACAGUGCCUGGCAGAGCAUUCUUUUAUCUUCUAGUGUAUGUUGGUACUUACUUUUCCCUUCUUGUUAAUUCUCGCCGUGUUUUUAUUGGGAUCAUGUUCAAUACAGUCCUAUGCAUGAUACAUAUAUAUAAUGAGAUCAUUUGAAUGACUGGUUGUUUUUCUUCUGUGUUGUCAAUAUUGGAGGAAGAAUUUGUUUUCUUGAAUUGAUUUCAAAUUGAUAUAUUUGGUAGCUGCGUUUAUAAGUUGCAAUAAGCUCCUGAAAAAUGAAGGGUGUUAGUAAUAUUGGCAACAGCUGCUUUUAAAACUGAUGUUUGCCACUGUAGGAAUGAGUAGCUUGACUAGUUUGACAAACUUGUGAUUCUGUGAAGUUAGUAUUUUUAUGUUAGUCCUUUUAACUUCUUUAAUCCACAUAUGUUCUGGAAGAAGCAUUUUUUGAUUCUUCAUGCUCCAGAGAAGUAACUUUGGAUAGAGAUUUGUCAAAUAACUUGAGGGACUAAAACAAUUCAAAAGCUUGUAUAAUUGAUUUUGUAUGGGAGAAGUGCUAGUAUUUUUAAGUGACAAGUAAUGUGAGUAAUGGAAUAAGGGAGCUGUAAUCAAUAUCAGUUCUAGGUGAUUGCAGAUCCUCUUUCGGAUCCUUAGACCGAAACUUGUUUCAUUCCAAUUGGUUAACUGAAACAUUAUUUAAGCAUAUUGAGUUGCUUUGCACGUUCAUUUUGGUAAAAAACCCUUCUGUGCAUUCAAGAAAUUUUACUGUCAGCAAAAGAGGGAAGAAAUAUUGCUGUUGGCUUGUCCAUUUGUAUAGAGAGCCAGUGAAGUUUGAAGUUGAAACGUUGUAGAUGAAGAAGGAAAUUUUGCAUUAAUUCGAUCUUUUUUUUUUAUUCAAAUUUCUGUUUGUUUGUGGCAUAUGAGUAGUUUUAAAGUUGCUUUUGAUGUUCUUCUUUUGAAGUUUCUCAUUUUAUCUACUGAAUUGUAGAUAAGGGGUCUUUUUUUUUUAAGGGAAAACUGAAAGGAAAAGGGAAAAACUAAAACUUAACAUCAUCCCAGCAAAGAAAUGAUCAAGUCUCAUAGUCAAAGUAUCGGAUAGUGUUACACCACCUAAUUCUCUUGGUUACAACAUUCCUGUCCUCUUCAAUGUUGUAUAACAAUUUGCAAUGAUCAGGUCGUUGAGAAUUAUUUCUAAAAGUCCCUGCAAAAACUGAAUAGAAGUUUGAACAAAACCUACUAAUACUAUAAUGGUACGUAUGGCAAAUCCAUGAUAAUUACAUGGUUGGUUUAGACAUGUUUUUAAGAAUGAAUCAAGAACAAGCAUAAAGAUCAAACCUGUAAUCAGAUGUAAGCAGUUUUUCGUUUCCUUUCUGAAGCUAGGGAUGACCCCAAUGUUCUCUUAAGCAAAACAAAUUCAAAUGAGUAUGGACAAUCUCUUCAGACUGCAAGACCAUGAUUGAGGGCUUUCUAACAUGAAACACCCACUGGCAGGUAUAGAGUAUUUUCACAACAAAACAUGAGCUUGACACUUCUGGAAGUUUUUUCAUCUUGAAGGCUCUCCCCACGCGAAAUGGCGGAUUUAACUUGAGUGAAUACAGGUUUCAAUACCAUGAAGAUAUAAGGAUAAACAAAAACAGUCACUAAUGACAAGCAUACCACAGUUUCUAUGUCCUUUUGUUUUUCAAAACAAAUGUCUCCAUCCGUACACGAUAUGAUCAAGAUAAAAGAAAUUAAGGCUUUCUAAUGGAGAUAAGUCUCCCAUUAUUGCGACCUAGCUAGCACUUUGACAUAGUUAAAAUUGUAACAUAGUUCCUCUCACAUGUCAAUGCAUUUAAUUAAAAGUAUUAACUCAUGAUAGGGAAAGAUACAUAGAUUCAAAAUUCUUAACUCCCAAACUUUUUUUAGGUGUUAGAUGCAUUGAGAUGACACAUAUUUUAAGGUUUUUUAGUGCUUUUGUAGACCAAGGAAAGUCCAUUUGAGGCACUAGAGAAGGGGGACAAGGGAUGCCAAUAUGAAAGAACCCAUGCUCAUUUACUCAAUGCACAAGAUAUCCAAAAAUACUACUGAAAAUCAUAACGAAAGUGAGGAAUUCUAAGACGGAUAAUUGAAACUGAAAGCAAACAGGUGUAAAUGGAAAAGUAUUUCCUAAGGAUACAGCCUAAAGAAUUCCUAGAGUUAAAAUGGAAUUCCAAUGAAUAAGGACAAACAGCUAUUUGAAGGAGAAAUUGAGAUCUCCUAGUUCCUAAAACAGAACUUCAAUAAAAUAAGGAGGAGAAGUUAUUCAAAGGAGAGAAUAAAAGCAUUGGAUAACUCAGAGCAUGAAAAAAUUUGAAGAUUACCUCUACAUUUAAAGAAGAAAGUUGUUUGAGAAAUAUAAUCUGAAACAACGAAAGCUAGUUGUUGAGUUGCUUCAGAAAAAGUGGGAACUUGUCCAACCACAUCACAUCCAAUUUUAAUUUUAGAGUUGCAGCAUACAGCAAGCCAAAUCAUAUGUUUUCCAGACUACUGAAAACUUUUAUGUCUCUUAAGUCACCAUUUGUCUUAAAAGGAUUCAGAAGUUUCAUUCAUACUGCAUUGCAUUUGGUGAUCAGUUUUUUUUUACCUGCUUGAUUAUGUAUACUCUGUGCACAAUUAACUGCCAGAAAAUUGUUUUACACUGAGUAUGUUCCUAUUAAUCCCGCAUCCUUGAAACUUUUUCAUUGAUAACUUGGUAGUUACUUCGACUCGUGCAUUUAGGCAUAGGUUGAUGCCAUUGGUUUUGUCUUCAAUAUAUUGUUAAUUCUUUCGAUUAAGAGUUUUUCGUUUGAUGAUAAGCUUUAUUUAACAAUUUCUGUUGUCUUUCCUGGUUAUGAAGUACAUCAUACCGACGAGUGAAGAAACUUAGGAUCGUGUCCCUUUUUCUUCUGCAAGUACAGAUCAACCAUGGAGCAUGUCUCCUUCAGAGAUGUGGAAGGUAAUACUUAUUCUAUGAGGUUCCUAUUUGACUCACUUCCACUCUAUACCUCCUCACCUCUCUCUCUCUCCAUCUGUCUCUCUCUCGCAUACAUCGAACAGCUUCUCUUUUAUAAAAUUGUUGAACGGAAAGGCAAAUUUUCUUUGGAAAUCUGCUUUCUGACUUUGGUAAAGCUGGUUGUCUCAAGUUAGGGAGGUAAAAUACUGAAUCUGAAAAUGAAGCUUAUUCCUCAUGGACCCUUGACAAUAAUAGUGUGAAAAGCAUGAUAAUAGUCUUGGUUGGUUGAGAUAUUGACUACACAUUGUCUUGAUGAACUAAUACUUAGCUUUUAUUUACUAUUUUAUAUUCUUACUGGAUGUCAUUAUUCUUCUGAUACAAUUUCGUAGUUUUAGUAUCUGUUCUUGGCCUUUAUGUUUUAACAGGUGUAAACGUCUGACAGGUUCUUUUCAAAAACUGUUGAUGACUUUUGUCUAAUGAUAUUGUUUCUUUGACUAAUGAGUAACUAGAUUUGAUUCUGGAAAAGGUCCUUUUCAACCAAGAAAUUAAGCUAAUGGGGAAGAUUCUGAUCAUAGGAUAUGUCAUCAAUUGACAAUUGUGGGCAGAGCAGAUUAGAUCAGAAGCUGAUGUUAAGUACUCCCAUGUUGUAAGACUUAGCUAUAUCAGCUGCAACAUAGCUAUUUUGAACUUUAGCAAGUGAGCAAUUGAUGGUCCUUAAAUGUCUUCAUAGGCUCGACAUUCUGUUUCGUCAAUAUUUAAAUUAAAGCAAAGAAUGAACCAGGACAUAUUUGAAAUACAGCAUCGCUUUGGUAGCUGUAAAACUGCCCUUAUGCUGGUUUUGAUUUUUGCGAUUGCUGGAAUGUUAUAGUCUCAACUUCAUCAGCUGUUCAUAUUAACUGACGGGAAGCCUGCACAUUAAACUAUUUUCGGUAGCCAUAGACUUCGGCCUGAUAUGACAAUUUUGCUUCAACCUUAAUUGACAAACUCUUUGUGGAUCCAUGAUUCUCAGAGAUUUUAGGACUGCAGUUAAGUUUACAAACAAUUGUUAAAUCAGCUUCAUAUUUUUCUUUUCAUUUUCAAGCAUCUGCAUGGUGCCAUUUGCGGUUGUUAAUUACCUUGCCUUGUCUGGUUCCAGCUUUUGCUAAUCUAAUUGAUUAUAAUUCUGCAACUUUACAACUAGCAUUUGACGUUAAACCCUUUAAGAUUAGCUGCGCACACUUAUCUCCUCUUGAACUAAACCUGAUCGCAAUCCUAAUGCAACAGGUAGUACUAACCAAAGCACAAAAAGUCAGGUUGCUGGAUCUGCUCAUUUAGAGCUGGAUACAGUAGAAGGUUCAAAAGAGAAACAAGGUGGCCAAAGAGAUAAUCCGCAAGUCUCCAGAGCAGAGAAUGAAGUUGGGCAAAAUAUAAAGGAGGAUAUACCUACGGCAUAUACAGAAACUCCAGGGAAAGUAAACAUGGAGGCUUCUAUUUCAGCUGAAGAUGUUAUGCAGGCAGGGGGCUUUGGAGCUAGAGAUGAUAUAAAUAGUUUCCUUCCUGUUGCAAGUGACUUCACUGACUUUGAAGCUUCUAUUCUUGAUGCCCGUAUAUAUGAAGAACCACAGAAAGAGACCAGCAGACCUGGCCUGGGCUGGACGGAAUCUCAGAAGUAAUUCUCUAGCUGUGCAUGUCAUAUGGAGUUACUGUGGUGCUUACUCUCCUACACCUGACCUAGUUCCUGGUGAUUACUUGUGUACAUGGUGUUCAUGCAACCCUGACCCGCUUUCUCUUCAAACAUCUUAUUUGCUUUCUAGCAACAAUGAAUUUAUCGUUAUGGUUGGAAAAGAUGUACUAAUCAUUCAGAAAAAUGCUUUUAUGUCCACACUUGUUUCUCAGUCUGUUUUGGUCUCAUCUUGGUCUCCUUUUUGUAAUGUGCUAGAGCGCAUAGGCUUCCCUUUUUUUUUUUGUUAGGGGAAUCUAAUUUAGCUUGGGGUUCAUGCUCAGAUGUUAUCUGUGCUUUGAUGCGCUCUUUAUUAAUACAAGGUAGAUAGUCACUGCUCCUUUGCUGAGGUUCUUGUACAAAAUUACAAGAUUAUUUACACGUUGAUGGUUAGCACCCUAUUUGCCUCAAGAUGUUAAGGGGUAAGCUUAGUGCACAGUGCCCCUGCAAAGUGCGGUUUGGAGAGGGCUAGGCACACAUAAGCUUUACCCCUGCAUCAUGUCUUGUACUCUAUCCACUUCAAAAGCUCUAAUCAAUCAUCCAAAGGUCAUUGUCACUGAAAGGCAACUGCUUUUUUGAAAAUCCUCUGACCGGGAGCAAGGAUUGCUAAAGGGUCAUAGGUGGACUUCCUUCGGCUGAAGACUUCCCACUGUUUGCCGAAGUGAGCUUUCCACUCAUCCUGUGUGCUAUACUGGGGCAGAUAUUGUUUCACCCCAAGUUGAGUACUUGCACAGAAAUUCAAAAUCCUUUUGUUUUCGCUGAGAAUGUGUUCUAAACCAUCUUUUCCAGUGGAAUAUGGAAUGGCAGAGGACAAGAAAGCAACUAGGUAGAAAAUAUCCUCCUCGGGGGUGACCAUUGAUGUUCCAUUUCUCCACCUGAAAUGCACAGACACGUGAUAUUAGUUCAGAGAAUCAAAAUAUCGUUCUCAAAAGAUCUAUCAGGUUGUGAAUGGAGAAAGUACUGGGAUUUAUUCACUGGAUAGAUGAGAAUUGGGCCAUUGCUAGUGUCUCUGAUAAUGUUCCCAAACACUCCUGCUGCAAAGUCAUGGAUCUUGCUCUUAGGAACUAGGAGAUUCAGCCAUGGAUGAGGAAUCUCCCACAAACCUUUUUUCCGGAGUUUCAUCUCUGAGAUAUGGACUCUGUCCAGGAAUUGCACAUAAGGGACCUCUGAUUGGAAGAGUGUUGAAGGAAUGUAGUUCAACUCUGACAAUAUCGUCUCAAUAUUCUGCAAGAUAGGCGUCGUAACCGGUCAUUGUGAACAUACUGAGAUAACCACAUAUUUGGUGUGUCUCUGGAAGUAUGGGCUCAGAAAUGUGUUACCUGAUUUACGUCAUAGUUGUUUUCUGGAUACAAGUAUUUUGCUACUUCUAGGCAGAAUAGAACUUUUCCUUCAGAUUGUAACUGGCUGGAACGAACAGGGUCUUUCGGACUGAAAGAAGAUUGCCAGUCGUUGACCAAUCCAGUUCUGUUUAUGAUCACAAACCCUUCUAUGUAGUCAAAAGAGUUCUGAGAAGAUAUCAGAAAUUCCUGAUCCUCGGUGAAUAUGGAGAAAUCUGAGUACAGCACUCUUAUCCAUUUUACCUGUGACAAGAGAUAAUAUAAUAUAAUUUAUGAACGAAACUAUGGUGGUAGUCUUGGAAAGAUCUUCGACGAUAGCGAAGAUUCUUACCAUUGUCGGAGCUGGUCCAAGAGCAAUUCUUGCUCGUGUGAUAAUACCAAAUUGUCCUAAUCCGCCAAGAACUCCAUGGAACAGGUCGGAGUUCUCGUCAUCUGAACACCUAACCACCUCUCCUGUACCUACAAAAGCAAUCACUGUCAAGGCUUUCCGAAAAAUCGUGCUUUUCACACACUAGGACUAAGUAUUUGUAAAGAGAGAAUAUUUAAGGGCUGGUUGGACGAUGCAUAAUAUUAAGCAUCCAUCGUAUGACCUUAAUACAAUGAAAUCAUGGAGUGCUAGGAGUGGAAACUCAAUCAGCAAUUCAGCAUUAAAGCUAAAUCAGAUAUGAUAGCCCGGCGUAGACUGGUAACUUGUGCCUGUUUUGUCGUAGAAGUCUUUAAGAGCAAAUAAGACUGCUUGCAAGAACAUACCUGUGACAACUUCUAGUUGGUGGACAUUAUUUAUCUGUGGUCCAUGCCGGAAUGCUUGGCCACUGACCCCAGCAUUAGACAAGGUGCCACCAACUGUGAGAUGAAGAUAGUCUGUCCAGGAUUUCGGCGUUAGCCCAUGUUUAAGACUCUCAUGCAGGAUGUUAAUCCAAAGUUCACCACCAGAAACAUCAACAUAUGGCAUCUUCCCGGGGUAAAAACGCAUUUCUGGGUGCCGAAGCGACUCCAUACUCAUAAUCACUCCUCCUCUGGCCUGUGCUUGUCCUGCCAGGGAGUGGCCACGACCUCUUGCAGCAACAGUGAUGUCUGAAGAGCCUCCCAUACCAAAGACAAGUUUUAUGGUGGAGGAAAUAUCAGAAACUGAUUGUGGGUGCAUAACUGCUAAGGGGAGAGAAUGAUAUCUAUUGCCAAAAUCUUUUGCAGCAUGAUCUAUGCUAUCAAAACUGACAUUCCCAUCUAGUUUUAAAUGUUCCAGUGAUGAACGGAUGGUCGAGGAACCCAAUUGAAAAGAUGCAGUAGGUUUGGCAAGAGUUUGUUUAGAAGACAGGUGAUUCUUGUUCAUUGUAAAACUGGUCAACAGAAGUAUGAGAGACGCGAGGAAAAUCUUGUUCCAUUUGAGCAAGCCAUUAGCAUAGGAACUCAUGAUGACCUCUAAAAAUAUCUCUAUACCUUUGUAGAUAGAGGAGGGAGGCAAAGGGCAAAGGUUUUUGGAAGGAGUAGAGAAGCUGAUUUCUUUCGUUUGUGUUUCUUUUGCUUCCUGUGAGAGUCGAGACUAAAGAGAGAUGUGGAGAGUAGCCAAAGUGAAGAGAGACUUAAGAAUAUAUAGAGAGGUAGAGAAAAAGCAGGGAUGUACCUCCAACAGAAGCCAUUGGCCAAAGUGCCUAUCAGUACCAUCCAUUAUUUGCAAUGGGGUGUUUUGGAAUUUCCAUUGGUUUCUCUUUUGGGUAUGAAAAGUUUCCACGGAAAAGAGGAUCUUGUAUAUUCUUUUCAAUUUUCGCAAGAGUUGCAGCAAACUUUGUUGAGUUUAAGUACUCAUCAAAACUUUUUUGGGGCUUUAUCCCAUAUCGAGCAAAAAUUGGUAUAUCUGAGUUAGUAUGGAAACAGCCGCUUUGCGCACAUUUGGUAAGCCUUGUGACUUCAGUUUUGGUUGAGGACGAUUCUGUAUGCUGCGUCCAUGUAGCAGCACAAACCACAAAGUCAAGUUUAUUUUAUGUGCAAUGGACAUUGAUAGUAGUAAUAGUGGUACAGUAACAGUUAAUUUUCUGGUUGCUUUGUCCCCACUUUGAAUAAAAUUAAACAACUUUGACUUCCAAAUUCUCAUUUUUUCCCCUUAUUAACACACACAGGCCAACAUUUUGUCCUACAUUAGAGAUGUGGGAUAUCCACAUCUCUGGAUAUUCUUGUGAUUUUUAUUCUCAAAUACUUAAAUUUUAAACCAGUGAUUAAGUGUACACUCGGUUCGUUACUUACUGUUUUACUAAUUAUCUUGCAAAAUUAUGACCUCUAUUUUCCUGUGGAGAACAGUGAUUUAUUUGAUUUUUCAUAUUAUUUUUUUUCUUUUUUUUAAAAAAAAAAAACCUUUUCCUUUUAAGUCAAGCUGGUGGCUUUGCAGCUAGAUGUAGUAGGAGUGUCAGAUUUUUUUCAGAAUGGAUUUAGUAAGUUCCUCUUAUGAGAGCAAAAGAUGGUGCGGCCCCUACUACGUGCCAUGCAGUUCAAGUUUGGUGGUGGUCCUGUGCUGAAUCUGUUCAUAAUUCCUUCAAAGGGUUAUAAUUAUUUCACUUUGUUGGAGGGUAUCAUUUUUUUUGGAGUAACAUUAUUUAUGGGAAUUAGCAUCAUCCAAGAUAUAGACACGGGAUCUUUAGCUGAGAUAUAGACAUGGGAUCAUAAGUUGAUUUCUCCAUCAAUGGCCUGAGUAAGGUCCACAUUCUUCUUCUUUAUAUUCCAAACAUAAAUGUUGAUUGAGAUGCUUGUUCAUUCAGAUGGUUACCAUCCAGAUAAAUCAAAUCCUAUUCAAGGACAACCCCAGAUUGGCCCUUUAGAUUUUGGAAAACUUCCAAGAAAGUCCUAAUUGUUGUGGGGUAAAAUUCUGUCAGAUUGGCUGCAACUACACUGUCAUAGUAACACUUUAUCAUAUGAAUGAAGAAGAAGAUUAAACCAGAACACAUUCUUUAUGUUUGACAGAAAAUGGGAAUCGGAGACAACUAUUCGGCUUAAAAACAUUUUGUAAUGAACCAUCUGUUUUAGAGAUUUGUAUUGUAUUAGCAUAUACAAUGAGACACAGGAUAGGAAAGUUCGGCAAGUUUGCAAUAUGACAGAAUACUGGCUUUGUUGACCUUGUGCUUCUGUUUUUGGUGUGCAAGACAUUCAGAUGAAUUUGUCUGCUUUUUUCUAUUAUUUAUGCCUGCAUCCUUGACUAGUCUGGGAAUAUUCUUUGCGUAAAACCUCCAUCAGAACAUGGUUUCAAUCCUGAAACUGGGAACCAGUUGAGGGCAUUGAAUGUAGGGAUUUGAAUGCAACAACACUCACUUUCAUAAUGUCGAAAAAGAAAUUGUGAACUAAUGUGGAGGAACUCUACAUAGCCAAAGACUCAAGAGAAAGGCAUUUACCAAAUAGCAGUAACAACAAAAUAUCGUACUCAUCAAAGGAUAACAAUAAAGAAAAAAAGAAAUCAGCAGGAAGGUAAUUUAACUACGUUUACCUUGCCUAGAGUUUGUCUACUUUGGCAUGUUCAAAACCAGAAAAAUCUUUCAAAAAGCUGCUCUGUCUAUUAACAAUCAUGGUGUUUUUCUGUUACUAUUAUUGUCUUUAGCUCUUGACAGGUAUGGUCCUUUCAUUACAUGUACUUGAUUGGUUAAAUGCAGUUCCCAAAAAAAAAAAAAAAAAUCAAAGGGUAAUUGCUUAAUUAAGGAUACAUUUGUGGAGGUUGCCUUUUAUUUUUUUUCAGUUAUGAUGGUCUCUUAUGUUGUCUGUAUAAAGCUAGCUUUUAGGAAGUGGUACGAGAUUGGUGGAUGAUCAUCUAAUUCUUAAAAACUAAUGCAGUUCUAAAGAAACCUGAGGAAAUACUUUCUUGUGACGUAUAGUUAAGCCCAAAGGGCUUAUAAACUACCAAGGAAUCUUGACAUGUUUAACAUUUGACAAAUUUCUGGCUGACAAAUGUAUAUUGUAAUUCGUAAGCAAGAAAAGAAUAGUUGUCUAUAUUAAUUAAUAAUAGUGGCGGUUAAUCAUACAAAUCCAUUCAUAUCAAACACUAUGGGUAAGGACAGUGAUUCAAGAAUAAGUCUGCCUUGUAUUGUCAGGAUUAAGGAUAGUAUCAUCUGAUUAGCAUAUUCCCAAAAAUGUCUCUCCAUUCUUUUAUAAAUGCACAUCUAAGAUGGAAAAAAAAAACAUAUAAAUAUGUUUUUGCCCCCAAAGCUGGCAUCAAUUAUUCUGACCAUACAUACAUACAUAUGUACAUACAUACAUGUGUCUAUACGUGUUUGUGCGUGAGCACGAAUUUAUGAGUUUGUAAGAAAAAUAUGUUUUAACUACGCGCCUACGUACAUAUGCAGUCAUACCAAUUGGUAGGGAUCAAGAGUCUUUAUAAUUGUCAGUAGUAAUUGCACCGUAUAGAAUAAAUUGAGACAUUGAAACAAUUAAUGUAGCAUAAGAAUAUGUUCUAGCCAUUGGCGAAGAAAGAAAGAAAGAGAGAGAAAAAAAAAGGGUGAAAAGACUCAAAAAUGAUAAACACGUACCAGAGCAAGGAACAAGAGUUCUGCAUGCCCUCGUUGAGCUUGAACUUCUGGUUCGAGUGCCUAUUGUUACAUUAAUAUUCUCAUUCGUGUUUACUAAUUUAUUUUGUAAGACUCUCUUUCUGAUAUAAAUACAUGAAAGGUUACCAAUUUGUAUUACCAUACUUAAUUGUUCUGGUAGCUCUUGGAGUUGGAUACAAACCUUGGUAACAAAAUAUCAUUGAAUUCUUAAAAUACUAGUGCUUGUGGUGCGCCUUACUUGUGUACUUAUACCAAAAUAUAUAUAAUUAAUUAAUUAAUUAAUCUUUUUGUGCUUCACAAUCAGCUAUUAUAUGUAAAAUCGCGUAUAUAUGCGUCUUUCUCAAAAAAAAAAAAACCCCUAAAAAUGUAGGAAAACCAUGGUGAAGAAAAAGAGGGGAUGUAAGUAGUUGUAUUUAAAUAUCAUGGUAGAUAAAAAGAAAAAACUCGAGUAGUUUGAGAACUAAAUUUAGAGGGAAUUUUUUUUUAUAAUAAUAUUAAGUGAUAAUGAAUUGUUUACACCAAAGAAGAGACUCUCUCGCUAUAUAUAUAUAUAUAUAGUAUAGAUAUGGAUAUUGUAGUUACGAUAGUAUUAGCUUAUCUUACGUACCAUUAUGGUCUAUAUUUGACGAAUGAAUUAAACUACCUUUUUUAAUUAAACAUAUAUCUCGAGCACCUUAGACGUGGUAGGAUCUUUGGUCAAAUGAAACAAUUUGAUUCAAGAUGACAUUUGUGUUUGCAUUGGUGAUCAUGUAGGGGCCUGAGGUCUUUGGCCCUCCAUUGGGGAGAUCGAACAAGGCUUUUGACAGUUGAAGGCACAGAAAGAAAAAAAAAAAAAAAGAAGAAGGAAUGGAAGUGGACAAGAAGAUGACAGUUUGAAUGGGGGAAACACUAAAAAAGAUAGCCUAUCAACUCGAUUGGUCUUGGAGUCUAGGAUUCCAGCACUUGGGACAACCCCCAAAAUUAUUCUCCAUUAUAUAAUUCUUUUAGUUGCUUUCUUUGUCCAACAAAAGACAAUUGUGGAAAUUAUUACUCCAUUUUCUUCUGUUUCUUCAGCACUUGCAAUGCAUUGAUUUGAAUCUGCAGCCAUUUUUGGGGGCCAAUUUUUAUUUUUUAAGCAUUAUUCAAUUUCAAUGUUCUUUCGGUGCACUUCAUUUGUGUUCAAUUGCUUCAUUUGAAUAUGCUAAUAAAAUGGUUCAUUUCAUCGUGCCUGCUGGCCACCUGUUGACUUCUCCAAUUAAAGUAUUUCUACUGGAAAAUUAUGUCGUCAAAAGCAUGCAUAUAAUCCUCUUUUAAAACUCGGACUGCUUCCUUAUCAUGUUAAAGUUUUGUUGACUUCAUCCUCUUUCUCCUUGCACGAAUAUAUUUUAGGCUCAGCUGGGGACUAGGUUGUAUCCAUCCAGUCUCUUCUGGUUGGGAGACCACAUGUAUUUCCAAAUCAUCAUUCUUCCCUGCUCGUGGAACAUGAUUCAAAUCACCAUCUUUAGCAGCAAUAACAACUCAUGAUGAACACUUUAUGAUGCUUCUUCUAAAUUCUUAAAGCAUCAUUAUAUCUGUAAACGACUUGUGAUUUCGAAAGUAUAUUCUGAUUCAUGGUGGUGAUUAGAACGGAACCUACUAAACUUUUAAGUAUAAAAAAAAGGAAGAAAGAGAAGGAAGCGUAAUUAUAUCUAAUAUAUAUAUAUAUGUAUACCAUUGCUGUUUCUUGCAUGAUGAAUUUUACUCCUUGUACUAUUGAUAUGGGUGGUGAAAAUUUUACCACUUAUAAAAUUUGCAUAGAAUUCUGAAGGUUGAAAAAGGACAUUGUGGGAGUAAGGAAAAGAGGAUAAGGAUCUAGUACGAGCCACAAUCGGGCCACUAGUACAAAAUUUUGAAAACUACGGUCUGGACUGUACCCCAUGUAACUUAAAACAGAACUGACAUGUACGGGUGAUUAUUAACACUAACUGAAUAUUACAUUUAUGCAAUAGUGUACAAGUUAAUUCACUAUAAGUUAUGGUCGAUUCAACGUGUUACACACUUUUGUAGAAUGGUUGUACUUGUUGCCUUCCCGACAAAGAAGCACCGUGGUGGGAUCGUGAUUUUUCGUAGAAAAAUAUUUUACGUUUAGAUUGUGAUUUUUUGCAGAAAAAUUCUUACAGUUUUCGUGAACGUAUUUUUCAAUUACUUUUUUUUAUUUCACAUGUAUCAAGUCGUUACGGUACAUUUUUCAUGAAAAAAAAAAAACUCCUGAAAAUAGCAUUCCAAGCGGAUCAAUGCAUUUUUCCAAAUAGUUAGUUCUUGAACUAUUUGACUAAUUCACAUUGAGCUCUCUAUCUUAAAAAAAUUGGAUAGAAUGGUCCCCCAAUAAAAAUUUUUGAGCCAAAUUGAUCCCUAUGUGGCGAAGUGUUCAAGAAAUAGUUGCACAAAAGUGGUGAUAAGAUUUGUAUUCUCUUGGUUGCACUGCCGUAUAGGGACCAAUUUGGUCCGAAAAUUUUUAUUGAAGGACCAUUCUGCUUUUGCUAUGACAUGAUGGCUCAAGGAGUGUUUUACACAGAGGCAAUCUGCUUUUUGCUACCAUAUAUAAUUGGUGUGCAUCCAUAAUUCAUUAGAAACAAAAUUUAUGAAAUGCAAACAGGAACGAGGGGACUUUCUUUCUCAUGAGUUCUGAUUAUCACGUACUCCCUUUGGUCUUCAGAAAGAGGAGCAUGCAUGUGCGGCAGGCAAGGUAUGGUGUCGACUUUCUAGUAACCGUGGGCAAUAAUUGCCCUAAGAUCUUCCCCUUUUCAUAGAUCCUGCUGCUCAACAAAAAUGGAGUAAAUGAAGAUUUAAAUAUGUAUAUAUGGUACAAGGAUAUACCCUCUUGGUCACAUUUCUAUUGAUCAUAGCCAAACAACAUCGAACCAUCAAAAGCUAAAAGUCUUUACUCGUCAAAUUUCAGAACAAAUCCUCCACAAAUUAAUGUGCAGUAUAAAGGACUUCUAAUUCUCAAUGUAGUUAUUUGCAAGCCAUCUUGAUUUUAUAUAUAUAUAUAUAUAUAUAUAUUGUAAAUAUUCACAUGUAUAGAUAUCAAUAUAUCAAACUUGUACAAAGGGACCAACUUCUUGAAGUCUACCCUCAACCUAGAUUCUUUUUGGUUGCUUUUUUAUAUACCUUGUUUGUUGUUGAGAUAGUAAUAUAUUCACCUUAUCUGUGAUAGUAUGAAGAAAAAGCAUCUUUAUGCAAGUUAACACAUGUGAACUGAAAAAAGCAUUGAACAAAGUCUCUGAAGAAAGCCCUCUAAAUGUUAGACUACUUCCUGCAAUUUGACAUCUUACUUUUGCCUGGGGAAAAUGUGUAGCUUAGCAGGCAUGUGAAGAUAAAAAAAAAAAAAAAAAAGAAGAAGAAGAAAAAAAAAGAAAGGUUGUUGAUGCCAAUUAACAAGGUAUCAUAGACCACGGGCAGGAACCGUUCCUGGCAGUUAUGUGCAUUUUGCACACGGCGUUGUUAGAACAAAAUUUUGUGGAUCCCACACAUAUUGUUAAAAUCAAGAUACGAGAUGAAAUCUGGACCGUACAAUUUUUUUUUUUAUCAAAUCUUGGCUAUGAACUGUCCAGGGACUGUCCUUUUGAUGAUCAUCCCUGUCCUGUAUCCAGGUGUCAUCAUCUUAACUUCCUGAGAUGGUACCAAUGAAUAGGGACUUUUUCUUGCAUGAUUGAAUCCACUGCGGAGAAAAGAAGAGGUGAUCUGACGGGGAAUAGGGGUGCCACUCUUUGGUCCAAGGGAUGAAGAUUGGGAACAGUAUCAGAUUGUAGACUUUCACUUAAAGUAUUGGUGAAUUAAAAACGUAAUUGUUUUCUUCUUUAGUAAAUAAUAUAUAUAGUACAGAGGAAAGGAAUACUAUAAUAUUAGCAAUGAAAGUCAAAUGAAUUACAUGUAGAAGCGGCCGGUUCAUCAACUUUUAAGCUAAUUCUUUAUCUCCAAAAAUAAAUAUUCAAUUUUCGAUGAAUCAUGCUUCAAAGCAAACAAUCUUGAAGGAGUCAGAGACGGAAACUAAAAAAUACAAUCGUGGAAGCAUGUCAAGUAAUUAAUUAAUUAAUGUUGAGGUGUUGUUCAUGGUUAAUAAUUAAUGAUGAGAAAUUGCCAUUGUUACCAUUAAUUUGACCAUUAUAGCAUGUUAAAUUCAAUUCCUAUGUUUUAGAUUUUUCAUUGUUUAUUAUUUGUUUGGAUAUCAUGUCGUGUUAUUUUUUAAAAAAAUUAUUUAAUUAUAUCAUAAAUAUGCUUUCCAAUUGAAAUGCAUCUUGCUUAAUUAACAGGCGUAUCUUAGAACAAGAGUACAGAGCGCGGGUAAUGCAAAAAAAGUGGUUGCCAAAAAGAAAGCUGAAACGGUAUUCUAACCACGUUUUAUUUAUCUCACAUGCAUUCCGUCAUUAAAACAAAAAAAAUCACAGUAUCACUUCAAACAGUUUUCCAAAUAAUCUUCUAGUCAAACACAUACUAUCCGAUAAAAGUACCAACCUAUGAAAUUCCAAAAUCUUUCUUGUCCUUGUGCCUUGGUUGUCCAUUUUGAUCAGCUCACAUCAUUGUGUGACCACGAUAAAAAAGGUCACCCUAUCAAGUAGCUAGCAGCUAGGCUGGUUUAGCUGUUGUUCAUUGCAGCAAUAUGCCACGACAGGAUCCAAUCUGCUUAAUUAUAUAGUGAAUGUUAAUGACCAUUUUUAUAUCUCAAACACGACUUUUUAGCCAACUAGCCAGCCUUAGAUUGGAAAUUAUAACCUUUUCUUCCGGUCAUGGAACAGCAAACAAAGCACUGAUUCGUGGCUAUGAAUUUUCUUCAGCUUUUGGGGAACGAAACCUUCUAUCUAUCACUCAAUGUUAAUCAAACUUUUCCUUGUCACUUAGUAGGGUUAAUUUUAUUUCGUGUUAAGUAAAAAAAAAAAAAAAAUCAUACCACGAGAUAAUGAGACAAGUGUUGUAAUUAAUAAAUCCAAGAACUAGUAAAAGACAUGAAACAAAAGGUUACAUAGAAAUCUCUAAAGAAACAUGUGCAAUCAAGCUGGUCUAUGUUCCUCAGGUUUCAAACAGAAGAGAAGAACUAGUAGUGCACAUAAUCAUAUGCAUAAAUCUCAAGGAUAUUUUAAAAUGAGAUAGAUCAAAUGUGUUGAUUAUUUACUUUCUUGUUUGAAAUAGAAAUAUGUAUAUCUACAUAUUUUGGGCAAAGAUUAUCCCCCACAAUUUUCUCCUGUAUUAUCUUGAUCUUCACACUAGGUAAAAUGCUUCACCUAAGAAGCAAGAAUGUCCUCAAAGCUAAAAAAGAACAAUUUGUACACUGUAAAAUAUAUACACUUGACUAAUAUGCUCCUUUACCUCUUAUCUUUUUGGAUUUGGUAUAUAUAUAUAUAUAUAUAUAUAUAUAUAUAUAUAUAUAUAUAUAUAUGUGGUGCAAACCUGAUCGAGUGCCACUUGUAAAAACCCUAUUGAAAGAGCAUUAUCAUGAGAGAGGCAAUUUGCUUCUGAAUUGCAACAAUUGUGUUUUUGAACGUUAAAUUGUGGCUAAACUAUCUUAUGGGCAGGCUUACUUUCCAUAUUUGGAUCUUCAAUAUCUACAAAAUUCCCUAUUUGAGCACUUUCAAGUAAUCACGACCAAUCUUCUCAUUUGCAUGCAUCACAUUGUAUGAUUAAAUAAAGCAGAAAAAGGGUCUCUCCUCUUGUGCACCUCAACAUUUGGUAUCUUCAAUUGCACCCGAAUGCACCAAAUUCACUUGCCUCAUAAUUUGAGUUGGGAAUAAAGCCUGUCCAGUUGCUGUUAUUCCACACAGAGAUCAUUAAUAUUAUUAAUAAAAGAAUUUUAUUCUAACUUUGUGGCUUUUAGCUCAUUGCAUAUUGGACCGAGCUAACAAAAAUCAAAUAGCAAAAAACACUAAAAAGAUCUUCUUGGAUUGCCUCUCAAUGAAGAUGUACUACUGGUGUCGCAUAAGUGUACAAAGAGGAAACAUGAGCCCCAUUAGUACUUGUCAUUUAUAUUAUUAUCUUUUGUGCAGUACUAAUGGAUGUUUGAUUUUGCCUUACAUAGCUGCUUUGUAAGCUAUAUGUCGACAUGCACACUAACUAUGUUGUCUGCUUACAAAAAUUAAAGCUAGGGGUGCAAACCACUCAAGCAAAAUCGAGUUACUUUUGAGUUUGCUCGGUCAAUAUUUAAGCUUGAGUUCUAUCAUAUUAAUUGAGCUUGAACUUAAUUAAGACAAAUUAAUCUAUAUAUAUAUAUAUAUAUAUAUGCGAGUUUCAAAAGCAUAUUGAACUUAAUCGAGGUUCAACUAAUACACACACGCUAUGUAUACACCCUAUCUUACCCUAAAGCCAUCAUUUUCUUCAUACCAAACUUAAUUUCCCCAUCUUUGGCUUCCUUCUUCAUUUCUUAUUAAUAACAAUUGGUUUUCUUUCUUUCUUUUUUUCCCUUCUGGUAUGAGAAAUUAUUGAGAAAUAUGAAGGAAGAUGCAAUUUGUUAUUUAUUCUUAUGAAAAAAAUAUACUGUAGAAAAAUGCACUGUAAUGAUUUAAUGUAUAUAAGAUAAAAAGAUGAUUGAAAAAUGUGUUUAUAGAAAACGUAAAAAUUUUUUAUGACAAAGUUGCAAUCCAAACAAUUCCUCAAAAAAAAAAAUUACAAAAAGGAACCGCGCUCUCUAAUUGCAGGAAGAAAAGUUGACUUAAAAGAAAGAAAACUUGAAAGGGGUGUAAGAAACAAGGUUUAUUUGAAAAGGGAUGGGUGGACUUCACUAUGAUGGAUUGUGGGUGGUGAGCCUACGGAUGAGGAUAAAUUUGGUAUAGAAAAUGAUCAAUUGCGAGUUAAAGGCGCUUAAGCCCAUAAUGGUAUUAAAAGUUGGUGACUAUAUCGGUGUCCUGUUCUUUUCUCCCUGCGCAAUGCAAUGCCACAUAUCUCCUUGCCAAUGGUGAAUGCCAAAAUGCAUUACUCCCUCUAUCCCAAAUUGUUUACCGCAUUUCAGAAUUUCAAAUUUUUUUUUAAAAAAAAUAAGGGUUUGACGGUAAUAUUAGUGGAUUUAUUUCCAAAAUUAUCCUUAAAAAUUCAAUUUUCAAAUUUAAAUUUAGUAUGAAAUAUAAAUAAAAGUGAAGAUAAUAUUAGAAAAAUGAUCAAAAGUAACUUUGAUUUUGGUAAGAUGACAGUAUUGUGAGAUAUUCCAAAAUGAAAAGUAUGGUACUUUCAAUGGGACGGAGAGAGUAUCAUCUUCUAUUGAAAUUCAAAUUGCAAGACGCAAAUCCCAUCAUACAUGUAACAAGGGGACAGGCCGAAUACAUUUGAUCAACUUAAUUGAACACUUGUUUUUAUUUCUGACAACACAUAAAUUGCAGACUUUUGUUUGGCCUGCUGGAGGUGAAGAGGCAGUAAAAAGGAGGUGAUGACAGGUAGCUCAAGCCAUUAGUAUUUGUCUGAGGGCAAAAGGAAACAAGAGUACAGGACUGAGUGAGUUAGGUCAAGCAAUUAAACAUCGAUGAAUUAAGUAUCAUUAACAAAUUGAGGGCCACAUUAAUUAUCUGAGUAUCUUUUGUGACAUUCGCAGGUUUAAUGAACUUUGAAUUCCAACCAAUCACGAGGAGAAAUUUAUGCAUAUGGGUCCAAAUUGUCAGGCAAAAAUAGCCACACCAUGACCACACAGCAUUGAUUUUCUUGGGGCUUUUGAACUUUACAUGGAUUAUUUUUUGUUUUCAACCUUGAAGAAUUAAAGCAAUAGAAAGCAAGUAGGGAACAGGCAAAUGAGGCUAAACCAGAAAUUAUAAAAGGUAGGAAUUGAUAUUCUUAUCUUGUUCCCCAACAUACUUACAUUCUACUUCAAUCAUGUCCAUUUUGUCCAUAGCCAAAUACUAGUAUGAGGGACCUCUUUUUGCAUGUACCUAUGAAACUGUGCCCAUGCUGUCAACAUUUUAUGCUGCUACGACCUCCUUGUUUGUCAACGUCGUAUUGGUUAGCUUGCUUACAAUUUGAAACAUAUAUACUAGUAGACAUUGCGACAGAAUUGACAAGUGCCCAGCUCCUAACUAACGCCAGAAAUUGUUAGUUAUAAGGGUAUCACAUUCAUUAAUCUGUCAUGUAAGAUUUCAGUCAUUUGAAGACUAUUAAAAGAGAAUGGUUUCUUUGUCUACUUGAAAGAAGCUUAAAAAUUUUAAUGUCAUAGCAAACUUGCUUAUACUAUUCUCAAAAGUGAUCAAUUUUACUCUAAGAUGAUGAAGGUUGACUGAAGGGUAUUUGUCACAGUUAAUACUAGAAUUGCUGUGGCAUUAAAAUUUUUCAAGUGUGGUAAUACCAUUUGCCUUAUUGGGUGCAUUAGUGAAGAAUCAUAUUGCUGAUCAAUGAAUGAAUAAGGUAUAUUAGUUAUUUUGAUUAUAGGGUCGAGUUGAAUGUUAGAUUAAAGUAAACAUUAGGGCCCAAGUGACAUUAGCUUUAAAGAAAAAUUAACUGGUUAAUUAUCAAAAUAAGAUUACCAUAUAUGUACCCUCUGAAAUUAUUGUUUGGCGCCUUGUGUUCUCAUCUGCUUUAACUUUCUUUAACAUUCAUGAAGGAAAUUAUGUGUCUUUUUGAAAACUUUGAAAAGUAAACAAAUUGUUGAACGUGUCCAUAAUCUUGUCCAUAAUCUUUCCUUCUUGUUAAAUUGAAUACAUAAAAGCAAAAGGUAAAAGCAGCCAGGACCACAUUAAAACAACGCCUUUUAGACAGUCUGGAUAAAUCUUAAGCUAAUGGAAUGCAACGCCUUCUUCUGCAUACCAAAUGUAAUUCCACUUUUGGGACAGAAUACUAUACAAGAAUAACAGUAGCUCAAAUUGCAGAUCAAUUUCCUGCAUGGAAUAAUGGAUGCAACAAGCUAGCACGUUUACUGCGAUUCACUAAUGAGGUUCAGGACUUUGGACGCAACUAGUGUUGGCUGCGUCAUUUGGCAGAAACAAAGUCUAUCCCAGACAUUAUAUAUAGCAGAAAAUUACAUGUUUGCUAACGUAAUGGUUGCCUAGUGGGGCGUGGAAUGGUAUUAUAGUGAGGGAUGAAAUCACAAAGAAUCCCAAAUCCUAUUGUCUACAAAUUAUACAUAUCAGCUGUAGUUAAGUGUUUGUUGCAAACGCUAUUUGGAGGCAAAAAUGGCUGAUUUUGGACAUUAUUAGUUCGACAUGGCUGCAAUAGGCCAAAAUUUGUGAUAAACCAAUGCAGAGAUCAAUGAGUGGAUGCAUGCAUGUAAUUUGCAUUAGCGAAUUCAUGUUGCAAGCAUUAUAGAUAAACUCCAGCAAAACUGGGGCUGGUGCAAGCUACUGAUCACUACAUGCAUGUAAUUAGAAUACAUUAUGAUGGGAUUAGAUGCAAAUGAGGGAUAACCCAUGGUGCAAAAUGCACGUAUAAGGUAUAAUUUUUAGUCUGACGGUGACUACUAAUAUGCAAAAUGCAGAAAGCAGCAGAUCAGCAUGACAAAAAAAGAUAGAUAUUAACUGAAUUGGGAUAAAAUACUUAGAUUUUUUUUCCUUACAAUGUUAGGUAACGCGUUAUUUUAAUGUAAUGUUGUCGAGGUAUCAAAAUUGAAUUGCAGAAAAUUAGCUUUCCUUUAAAAAAAAAAAAAAAAAAGAAAAUGUACAGUUGGUAAUAUACAUAACAGACUUGAAUUAUGGAUAAAAAAUUCGGUCAAGUCCACAUGCUAAGUUCAUCAAUAAUCUCCUUUCUUCGUGUUACCUUUUUGGUUUUGGAGUCAAAUCAACAAGGUUAGUGGUACUGCGGAGCUGAUAAAGAGUCCAUAUCAAAAGAGGGCCAAAACCAUUUUUGGAGCUAGGUAGAAACACAAACUUGUUUUCAAUUAUGCUACCCAAUUUAGGUAUAUAUGCACAUAGUCUAAAUCCUUCUCACAGAUGGCUCACUUGAACAGCCACCAAUGAAUGAUCAGCAAAUUGAUCAAGAAAGGAAAGACAGAGAUUUGAACAAAUGAUCAUUAAGCCCUAGAAAAAGUGUGUUAACUUGAAAAGGGAACUAUGCAUUUUGGGAGUGUAAGUGAGUUUCGUUUUCAUAGGCUCAUAGCCCAUGUGCUAGUUGCUGGCUUUUUUGUUGCAAGAAUUUGGUUUUAAAGUCAAGAGAAACGAUAAGUACUCUACACCAGGCUAGAUAGGCAGAUCGUUCCUCAUCCACUUAGUGAUUUUAGGGCAUGAUUGAGGUUCCAUUUUUUCUGCUCAAAUGUGCAAAGUUUGGUGGUGACUUUUGCACACAAUCCUUUCAGUUCUCAUCUCAAAGGAUUGGUGAAUUUUCCAAAAAAAAAAAAAAAAAAUCCAAAGGGCUUGUGAAUUAACAUUUUUUUUCUUUUUUUUUUGGGGUGGGGCGGGGGAAAGGGGGAGGAAAAAAUGGUUGGAUGGUAUCGGGAAAGAAGAGGAAGGAGCGUAAGUAAAAGGGUCAAGUUCGAGUCCUUAUUUCACUACUAAAAAAGAAAUCUUGUCAAUCACCCAUGCAUGGUUGUCAAAAUAUUUCAAAACUUGGUUUUGUGCACUGAAAUUAUCUUUUAUUGUAAUAAUUCACAGAUUUAACUUCUAAAUAUAUAUCGUUUUUACAUUUUUCUUUAUUUUACCUUCUUUAUCUCUUGCGGAGGUUGUUGCGCUUGAGAUACACAAUUACGCUCACCUUUGAAGUAUUUUUGGUAUUUCUCAGAAAUCUUGCUCACAUGCUAUCUAAAGUUUCAUUUUACCAACUGCACUUCUUUUAUUUUGUCAUUUCAAAUUUGCAUCAGAGAGUUUCUGAGAAAUGACAGAAGUUCCCCUAGAUAAAUUAUUGGUGCCAUUGAUGCACUUUACCCUUCUUUGAUUUUACGUUUUCCCUUUCCAAAUCGUUGUUUUUGUGCAAACAAUUGGAGAAGGCAUCAAGAUAGUGAAAGAGAAUAUCAUAAGCGCUAUAUUUUUUCAAGUAAAAACUGCAAUCAUUUCAUUGAAGGAUGACGAGAAGUUCUUCCACAUAUCCUUCUACAAGCUGAAACUAGCAAGUUUGCACUGCACAUUUAAAAUCAUUUUGCAGUCAGUGAUUUUUAAGCACGCAAUUAUAUUGUAGCAAUAACACAAAAUGCAAACUCUAAUCGCUCCCAAUUUGAGCAUCCUAUUAUCAAUUCUUACACUUCUUGAAAAUUACAUUAUAUCUAUGGUUUCUAGUUGAAGUUCGUUAGUUGCAUUUAAAAAGUUAUAUAUAGCUGUAUCACUAUUCUCAAUCCAAGUGAUAUUCAUGUAUAUAUGUUUUGAGAUGGGCAUCAAAUGAAUGCCUUAAGGGUUGGCUAAGUGCAAUAAUUUUAUGUGAUUUUGUGACUUUGCAUCAAUAUUGAGAACAUUACGAACUUGACAUUUUCUUUCAGCAUUUUCACUAGAACAGUAUCUGAUUAACAUGCCUAAGUAGCUAGUACUAAAACUUGCAUUUUUUUUUUUUAAGAACUAAAACUUGCAUUUUACAGUCAGGAAGUGGAUUGAAUGUUUCAGAAGGGAAAGCAAGGAAGUGUUAGAUGAUGGGCUAUCAAAAUUUGUCAAAACUUCUGCAAACCUAUUUGGACUAGUCUAUUCCCUGUGAGGACAUGACUUGUCAUGACAUAGGACAUCAUGUGUCUUGACCACUGCACCAACCUUAAAAGCAUGCAGGCUUUGUAUUCUGUCAUUUGAGAAAAAAAGAUUUGGACACAGAACUUGAAUGAAUGAGGUAAUAACACAAGUUCCACAGCAUGAGUCAUGCUGAAAAAUGUGUAUUGUAGAACUUUUUUUUUUUUUUUUAAUAAAAAAGAGCUCUGAUGACAUCCUAAAUUUACUUGUGAAUUCCUCAGGAUAUUAUAUAUGCUCAAAAAGAAAAUAAUGUACAUAUGAACAAUAUAUAAAUGGGUUGAUUUCUUUUCUUUUUCUUUUUUCUACAUGCUUACAUAUAGUCUUGAAGAGUCUAAGAAUAGGAGAUGUCUUUGGACAUAAAAGCGAAACUCAACAUUUACUUAUAUGUGAUGGUUUUGAUUAAUUACCCAGAGAAAUAUUUCUCAGAUGACUAGUUUCUCCAUAGGCAUGUUUCUGUAUUCCAUUUUCGAAGAUACAUUUAUCAAAGUAAAGAUAACCAGAUCAGAAAGUAAGUUCCUGCAUGAGAAUGAGAUGAUGUUAAUUGCUUUUUUUGGCUUUGGAAAAUCACGAGGGCUCGAAACCAUACGAUCAAGACGGCUAAUGUGUAUAUAUUGUUAAGUAAUAGUACUUUUAUGAAAUAGAACUUUCGUGGAGUCAAUUUAAAACCCAAAUUAAAAACACAAACUUGUGUAGAUGCAGAAAACUCUUUUUUUGUUACGUAGAUAUCAUGCAAGUUCUUUAGUGUCUACAUCCAACUCUUCAGUCUAAUUUAUCCACCUUUGGUAGAGAACAUGAGAAUGGCUCUACCAAGCACAAAACUUUUUGUUUUUUCAAGACUUUUGGUUUUAGUGAAGAUGGAGAAAAUCUGGAAUGAGUAAAAACAAGCCUUUUUAGAAACCGGCCCCAUACGAGGGUUCAACAUCACUGUACCUAAGUGGUUAGGAUUUAGUUGUUUAUAUAUGAUGAAGCAUUAUGUCUUAUAUUAAUUACCAUUUUAGAGAAGAAAAAUAACUAGAAAUAUCAAUGAUGAGUAAAAGUAAGGGGGUUUUGAAUAUUUGAGUUAUAAACUAUCAUUUUUAUUUUCUAACAAUCAGAAGCAAAUUAUAUUUGUGGAUUGUUUUGGGGGUGGAGCAAAUUAAAAGUAACAUUGUGGUAAUCAAUUAUCUUAUACUAGCAAAUUUUUUUUUUCUUCAUUUGUUUGUCAGUUAUAGCAAUAAUAGAAUGAGGAAAAAAGUUUUAUGCUAGCAUUACUUAAAUGGAACUAAUGAGGAAUAAUUGAUGCAGCCAGAAAUGAGAGUUAUACCAAAUACAAUGUAGUCAAAAGUUAAUUGCCAAAUUGGGGUUACUUUCUGCCAAACAAUCUUUCACUAAAUUGGUCCUCCAAAAAGAAUAGCUAAUUUGGCAAUUUGAGUGUGACCCUUAGAAUAUGAAUCAGGAACAUAAUAUUCAACACCAUUUCCAAUUGAUUUUUGAUGCAGUUGAUGUUGCUUCAUGAAUUACAGUUCUAAUGAAGGAGUCAAUUUUUACUUCGAUACAAUUAAGGGUUUGUUUGAUAACAUUAAAAAGUGCUGAAACUAAAUUUUUUCAGACAUUCAAAUGUUUUGAGUGUUUGAUAAAUGAAAAUCCAUCUGUUGAACUUGUUAAGCAGUGCUGAAAUUGUGUGUAUUUUUUUCAGCACAAGAAUCCUAACUGAAUGCUUAAUUCUGAUAAGAAUUAAUAGAAUUACUUCAACUACCUUAUCUUAUCUAUCAAAUCUACCCUUGUUUGUUAAUUAUGUUCAAAAUUCUUAUCUAAUUAAACAACCUGAUAUUCUCUAUCUAAGGGUUUUCUAUUUCUCUUUUCUCCUUUGUUUAAUGACUUUCACAUCUUCGCCAUACUCCUUAUAUAAUAUAUUUCAUCUUUUAUAUUAAUUUGAUUUAAAAAUAAAUAUUGUGGUUUACAUACCUAACAAUAAUUUUAAAAUAAUUAAUUUAUAGGUUCUAUUUCUUUUUUGGAUGAAAACAUAUAAGGGCAAAAUUGUCAAAUUUAACUUAUUAAGCAUUCAGUUAUAAAUGUUUAUCAAACAGUAUAAAUAGGUUUAAUAUUAAAAUUCAGACAUUUAUAUAUUUCAUUUCAGUGCUUAAAAUUCAGCAAAUUAAUUGUUUUAGUAUUCAGAUUUCAGAAUUCAGACUUCAGAAUUCAGAUUCAGUUUUAUCAAACGGAACAUAAGUAUGCAUUUCUUGUGCAUGUAUUAAUCAGUCUCGUAUCAAACCAGUUGAAAUGUCCCAUGCUUAUCUUAUUUUCAUGUUUUCAGUCUGUUUUUCUUGCAAUGAAAGAUUGAAAAUCAUUAUGUGAUCUAUAUUAUUCGUUUUUAGAAUUAAUAAACAAUCCGGAACAUACACAAUAAUGAAUUCCAGAGUUUUCGUGAAAGUUAUAAACAAACACCAAACUUUCUUAUUUACUACAAAAAUUACAUAAAUAUAUUGAUUCCAAGCUUUAAUUCUUGCAGGGUUGCACCGCACUUGCGUUAUAUAUAUCUAGCAUCAGAUUUCAUAUUUUAUUUCCGCUUUAACUAUUGUAAUUUCUAAAAGCAACAAGAAUACAACCAACAGCACCAAACAUAGAAUAAUUGAACCGCCUGAUCUGACUAUACAAAGAUAGUAGUCAAUAUGUACCUAACAAACCAACUUUCUUGCAGCAAUGUUCUUCAGUCAUUUUGAAACAUGUGAAUUUCAUGGAUCAGAUCAAAUAAUAAAAAAUAUAAUAAUAAUAAUAGAUGAAUAAAUACAUUUAAGCAAUCAAGCAUCAAAUGUCUCAUCUCCAGCUAGCUAAGGUACACUAAUGCCUAAACUACACAAAUUCUCCAAAAAGCAAAAAGACUCAUGUUCGGUAUCUUUUUUAUCUAUCAAUCGUGAAGUUAAUAUCUUAAGACACGCACAAGAUGAAAUAUCCCGGAUCGAAUGUUCUAGGGUUUUAUUUACCAUACCUCAAGCUCAUGUCAAGUAAUUCAGCCUCUUGUCCAAUAUCAAGUCCCGUGUAAGAGGAGGUGUUAAAAGUCGACAAAAUACCCCAUAUCAAUUUGUCAAAGAAUUAUAGCUAGGCAUCAUAUCAAUAAGAUUUUGAACCACUCAACUCAUUAUAAGUUCGUUAACAGAUGAACGCAGUCAAGCUAUUUAUCAAACCCUUUUUAAUGUGUCAAUCAUGUGUGUGUAUAUAUAUAUAUAUAUACAUACACGCACACACAGAGAGAGAUCAUGAAGUUAGUAUCUAAAGGUAUGAACAAGAUAAGCCUAUGCUGAUUCAUAGUUCAGGAAAAGGUGUCCUCAGAAAAUGGCUUUUUCAAGGGCACGCUUGAAAGAACCCUUGCCUCAACAAGUCGUUGUUUCAGGACUUUCGGUGGCCAAUCUCCCAUAAACGCACACACGCACACGCAUAGAUGUGUAGAUCUGCUGAUGAGUAGUCGUUGUCUUUCCACAUCAAUAUCUGAAGAAAUGCAAAGACGACCAUGUGCUUCACUUCAUAUAAUAUUAGCAAUCCUUUUCCUUAGCCUAGAUACCUUAGAUAGGUUUAGGUUCAAUGAUUCUUGUCGGAACAGUUCUUGAGACUUGAAUGAUAUGUAUGCAAACUAAAAGCUGUAAUCAGUUUUGAUGCUUCAAUAUUGCAAAAUCAUGCUACUCCUGCUAAAGGAAUUUAGAGGACUUUUUACAUGCAAGUGGGGGAACCCAAAUGUGAAGCUCUGCAUGCAGAAGAAGACAUUCUGCAUUGUGCUUAAUAAUUGAGAACAAAAGAUUUCUUUUUUGGUUUUUUAAUGGUUUUAUCAUUUUAAGUAGUUCAAUAUUAAUUUCUAUUCUCUUCUAUUUCCUGCAGGUAGCCUAAUGUCGAUGCAUGGAGCAAUCACUCAAAAUGCCAAAUUAGCUAUUCAUUGUGGAGGAUCCAUCUAAUGAAAAUUCUUUGGCUAAAUACAAUCCCCCAAAUUGGCAAGUAGCUUCAAAGUACAUUGUCAGUGAUCUAAAAUAAUUUUCUCAUUCAAUUAUUGUUGCUCUAACUGGCAAAUAAUGAAUGAAAAACAAUGGACUUUGCUAGUAUAAUACAAUUGAUUACCUCAAUGUCACUUCUUUCAAUUUGCUUGCUUCUUUUUGGAAGAGAACAAAAUUGCUAUAUAGUUUACACUUGAAAUGCUCAAAAUCCCUUACUUUUUACUCAUCGUUGGAUACUUUCCAAUUAUCUUUAAUUCCUCAACAGUAAUAUAAGACAGAAUACUGCUUCAUCAUCUACAAACAUCAAAGUUCUAACCACUUAGGCAAAGUGGUAUUGAACCCUUGUCUAGUACUGGUUCUGAACGGUUCAAUUACAAAAAGCGAUUAAGAAAGUAUUAUGAGAUGAUUAUGGGAUAAAUACAAAUAUAGGAAUAUUUAAAAAAGGCAGGAGAUGGUCAUAUACCUUACGUGUAGAAUGUCAUAUUCUGGUUCUUAAAAACAUUUUUUUUUGGGUUGUUAAAAACAUAUGUUUUUACUCAUUCCAGAUUUUCUCAAUCAUGACUAAAAACAAAAAGUCUUGAAAUACUAACAAAAAUUUUGGUGCCUGCAGGUAGAGCCAUUCUCAUGUGCUCUACCAAAGGUGCAUAGAAUAGACUGAAAAGUUGGAGGUGCAUUAUUAAAGAAGUUGCAUGAUGUAUACGUAAGUUUCUGUUUUAUUGUGUGUUUUAUAAAUAUAUUUGAGUUGUUUGUAUUUUGUUCAUUCGAUCAAUUUGCUAAAUUUUAUGGGCUCUUUGAAUAUCAGAUGGAUAAAGCAUCGCCAUAUGCUUCUUUCUACAUGGAAGUUUAUAUUUUUGAGUGAUUUCUAUGAACUGUAUUUUCUCUUCUUGAUACUGAUAGGCUGAAAAUCUGAAAUAUAUAAGAACCAUUGACCAAUAUUUACGUAUGCAAUGACAAUGCAUAUGAUUCACGUUAUGUCAAAAAAGUUGCACACCUAAUUUGCAAGUACAUUUUUUUUCCAUCUUUUCAAUGGACACAUUUCACUUGGUACUCGAAGUUGAUCUCAUGUGGUUUUUGCUGCCUUUAUGCAUCCAGAAGCAAAUUUGAAGGGGCUAUUCUUGGUGCAUUUGACGCUUGAUGCACCUUUAAUACACUCAACAAGAAGUCACUAAAUCUUGCCCAGUGCAUUGAAUCAAGACCACUGUUAUCAGUUGUCUGCAAAAAGAUUUUUUGUUCAUUUUUCCUUCAACCAAGAUAAUAUCGUGUCUACAAAGAAGGAAUGGAGAAGGGGAAUUCUUUCUAAUGGCAAACACGAGUAGACACCUUGAAAGUUGAGGAGAGAACCAAUCUUGGGGUUCAAUCAAACAGCACCACCACUGGCCUUCUUGUAGCUGUGUAACUAACAAAAACUGUAUAAUUAGUAUGGUAGUUUGUGAAGUUUGAAACGUGAAAGGAAAUCCCAAAAGGUCUGAGAGGACUGGAAUUUGGUUGAAGUUAGUUGGUGGAGAACAUGUUAUGGGCCAUGCAAUUGAGUCAGGUCUGACAGCAAAUUGGAGGCAAACAUCUGACAAGAUGAGCUUUGGAGGGGGGGCUUCAAGCUGUGCUCGGAAUUUUGCCACUUGGAAGCAUAAUAUUGGGAUUCUUGGUUUAUACUUGACACCCUCUGUUUUUGUUUUGUCAGAAGAGUAAUGAAGACUAGAGAGCAAAAGGAAUUGGAAGCUUAUGUAGCACUUGACUUUCCCCAUCAAGAAAGUAGGUAGCUGUCUUCAAAGAUGCCGAGGAGGGGUAACAAGGACUGCGGGUGGAACCAUUCCAAACAAUUGAGGGUAAAAUUUCGUGUUUGGAUUGCUAUUUUUUAGAAUUUUUAUAAAAAAAAUAUAUACUAUAAUAAUUUGAUACACGUGAAAUAAAAAGGUGAUUAAAAAAUAUAUUUUCGAAAAACAUAAAAAAUCGUUUAGUAGAAAACUCCAAUCCAAAGCACCACCUAAAUUUUGAACUAAAAUUUACCCUUAAUUAAUUCUGAUAAUAGAUGCACAUCGUUUUGACACACUUAUCAGAUUUAAGUGAUAGGGUUACAAAAGUUACUUAUUGUACAAGUGGUUUAUGUUAUAAUGGUAAAUGUACAGUUUAUAAUUUGUUAGACACGGUAUAAUUCAGGAGAGUUUGCAGCCCCUUGUUUCUUGAGGAUAUUUGAGGAAGUAUAGGCUGGGGUGUUGGUGGAGAUUUGGAUUUCUUAAAAUAGUUUCACUUUUGACCCUAUGUUUAGCUUUACACAUUUUUAGUCAUUAACCUUGUGUGCAUGUUCUACUUUAGCCCCUCAUUUUUUACUUUGGCACAUUUUGGCCCCCUACGGUUCAAUAAUUUGCAAUUUAAGUAUGCUGUUAGUUGUCCCAAAAUAACAAUUUUAUAGAUCAAAAAGUGAUUAAAAUUAGUGAUACGUAAACACAAGAGACAAAACAGGAUAAACGGAAACUGCAGGGACCUGAAAUUUUUAUGAGACAUAUGAGAUUAAGAUCCUGUUUGAUAACCCAAUUCAGCACUUAAAUUUAAUAGAUUUAGAUCUUAAUAUAUUCAGACCGUUUGAUAACCAAAAAUUAAACAUAUGAAUUAAUUAAGUGACAUUAAAUUUUCUAGACAAAACUUGCUCCCAAGAUUAAGUGAUAAGCUAUUCACUUAUUACUGAAUGUGACGUGCAUUCAAAUGUAUUAAAUUUAAUACUUAACAAUUCAAAAAUUUAAUGAAUUCAAAUUUCAGAUUUCAGAUUUUAGAUUUCAAUUUUCAAACUAUUGUUUUAUCAAAUGCAGCCUAAAUUGAGGAUGCUAGUACCAAACAUGUAAGGCGGUUCACGAAUUAGCACCAAAUUUUUCUUCAUUUUUCCCAGCUUAAGGACUAACUAAGACACGUAAACGCGAGAGCGACCCAAGGACGAACUAGCUCAAUCAAACAUGAACAAUCUCGGCCCAACUAAGACGGUCCCCUUGGGCUGCUUUGCUGCAAAUUUUUCUAGGUUUUCUAGCAUUAGAAUAAAUAAAAUAAUUGUUGAAUAAAUCUAAUUAUUAGAAAAUUUGUUAGAAUUUUCAAAACUUUGUUGAGAUUGUUUAGGAGAUUUGUUAACAAGUAUUUUUCAGUUAAAUUUUGGCAAGAGAUAUUUGUGAUUAAUUUGUAUCCUACCUCUCUGUGAAAGGAAAAAAUUGACGAAUGAAAAGUAAGUUCAUUUUUUAUUUUAAUAACAUUGCCUAAGACGUUGUUUCUUAGUUUAUACCUUAAAAACCAACCCGUUCGCUCAUCUAUGUUGACAUUUUUGCUCAAAAACACAAGUUCACACAACCACGAUCCCCCCAAACGCCCCCCCCCCCUCUCUUCCUUCUCAAAAACCAAAAAACCAACCAAACCAUAAAUAAAUAAAUAAACACUGAUUUGAAUUUCAUUCUUGAGCCCAAAAGCUGGUAGAAACAAUACUUGUUUUGAGCAAGAAGUUCCCAAAAUCACAAGCACAUACCUAGAUAAUGUGAAGAUGAUAUUAUAAUGAGAUAGCACAAAAAAAAACAUAGCAAGUAAACUGUUUAUUUUACUUUAACUUACACUAUCACACAUUCACAAAGCCAACAGCAAUUCUACAAGUAAUCCAAUCUAUCCAAUUAUUUAGUUGGUUGUAUUGCUAUAUAUAAAGCCUAGCCUUCGCUUAUAAAUCCAACCUCACAUACGAAGCACUAGACAAAAAAUGUUCAAAACGAAAUUAAGAAUCAAUUUGACCUUCUGGGAAUCUUCUUAUCAUGACCGGACAGCAGCAGACAACUUCUUCUUUGGUGGUGGGUUACCGCCAGAAAUCAUCACAUAGGCGUAGAAGCACAGCAUUGCAGCACUGUAGCAAAUGAAGAGCAAAAUAACCACCAUCACCAGAAGUAGCAGAGUUGAUGCAGCAGCACCAUUGAUUAAUAAAAAGGCCGUUCAAAGAAUAGCUAACAUUUGGAAGAAAGGGGAUUCAUCGUCGUACCUAAUUGCAGCAUAAAAGCCGGAGGGAAAUAGCUUUUGUGUCUGUAUCAAACAGCAGCAGCAUUUUACGUUGAAGUCCAAAUUAACGAAUGCAACAAAUGAAUAACAAACUAGAAAGUUUUUAUAAUACCAAUGAGUAUGUCUGAGUGUUCUUCCGUAUGAGGACUGCAGCAAGCACUGCGAUGCAUAAACCAAUGAAAGAAUUAAAGUAUAGAUAAAGCAAUUUCAAACUAGACAAGAAAAAAAAAAUGCUUCACAUCCUCCAAACACAGUAUCAACAGCGCGCGCGUGCACGUUGGGGCCAGGGGGACUAGCAUCUUUUGGGUUGUGCGCAAGUUAAGCAAACUGCUUCUUCUAAAAAUAGGAAAAAAUCAACUUUUCGGCUUGAAUUUUGACAAGCAGCUGUUAACACUUGACUGUUAUCAGCCAUUCUAAAAUACAUCGUGGCUCAGAGGUAAUGACCAGACAUCAAGUAGCCUCAUAUGAAUGCAUGCACAUAAAGGAGGUAGCUUUAGAAUUCCACAACUGUUACAAGGUAUCUCUUUUUAAAAGUCAGCCACUGCAAAAUAAUGUUCAGAAUUCUAAUGCACAAGGCAAACUUUGAGAAAAAGACACUCUGUCAGGGAUAGAAAGUAAGAAACUUUAUGACCAAGGAUAAAAAAUUCAUGCCAGAAAUAAGCUGAUGCAAGCUUCACUAUGCCGUAUGAAGUCAGAAAUGGGAGGCAAAUAUUGAAGAAACCUUGAUAAUGAAGAUCAAAGCACAGAUCAGUGUUGCCAAAUAAGAAUAAUUGUAUUACUGUCCACAAGUCCUGUGAAAGACUGAAAAGGAGGAAGUAUUCAAUGCCAGCCUAAUUGCCAUAAAACUAUCUACAAUUUGUGUUCUAUUACAAACUAAAUAUUUUGCUAAAAUGAUGCAUUUGUUCAUGAUAGAGUAACUGUAAACAGUCCGGUUAUAUGAUAUAUCAUCUACAAGAUAAGACCAUCAACAGCAUUAGCACCGCAAAUACAAAGAUCUGUCUGGCUUUCCCUUUUCUCGGCUGUGGCAUUAAGUUCCCUAACAACCAAAAAGCAUGUCUUUCAUUUUACUACACAAGUAGCACAAGAAACAACCUGUAGAGCUCACAUUAUUCCAUCAAUAACUUACAAAAACCUAUUAAGGAAAUGCUGGGUUUCAUAACAUCCGACAAGCUGACCAAACAUAAAAUCUAUGCAGGAUCUUAUGCCCAUUGCCAGCUUUUUAACAUUUUUGACUGAAAAGAUUGUAUGGUUCCCAAAUAUACUCUAUUUUUAUUUUUAGAAGGGCAAAAUGCCCAAGAACCCUUCUUUCCCACUUACAAUAAAUUUUUCAACUCAUUCUUACUAACUGCAAAUCCUCUAGGCAUACCCAAAAUAAAAAAUUUCAUUCAUGAUAAGGAACUAAACAUCAUUUUUUUGUAUUCAACUUGACUAUAGUAGAUAGACAUGAUUCUGAACUCUUCACUAUGGCAGACUAUGCUUUUGUCAAAUUUGCACGAUAAUUGUACAUUAUUUUAGAAUCUAAAUAAAAUAAAUUUAUUCUCAAAAUUUGUUAUACCAAUUCUAUACUGAUAGAGACUUAAAAUAACAAAUUGCAACAAAAGUUCAGCGCAUCUUAGUUUGUUGAAGUAAUAAAUAAGUUACAUUUGAAUAAAUUUACAUGCCACUGUAAAAUCAUUUUUGAAUUGACACUAAUAAUUAAUAAACCGAUUAAAGAUUAAAAGGCCAGUACUUUGAAUCAAAUUUGUAUUGACACUAAUAAAUCAAUUCAAGAUUAAAAGGCCAGUACUUUGCUUUUAAAUGCCCAAGCUUGAGAAGAAAAGAAUAAACUAACCAUUCAAACUUAAAAUUCAUUAAAUCCCAUUUCAGAAGAAUAAGUACAAUAAUUGAUCGUUAGAAAAUUUAGAGAUUUGCAUGGAAAAGAAAAAUAAUUGAUUUAAUAUAGUCAUGCGGUCACGGUGAAAAGAUUUGAGAAUACGCCAUACAUAUAACUAAGAAUUUUCUUGAUGAAAAAUAAAAUUUAAAACAUAAGCAACUAGUCCACGCAGAAAAGAAGCAGGAGUUUUUACGAAAAAAAUGAUUUAUGCCCAAAAACUACUAGAAGUCUAGGAUUUUACUAGAAUAUAGGAACAUGAGCUAUUCAGAAAUUCUGUAUAAAUUCAUAAAUCAGCUCUCAACAAAUAAACAUAUUGCAAGCAUAAGGAAGCUGUUAAUACACCUUGAUUCAAAGAGGAACUACUUAAUUUAACUCAGAUCAGGAUUCUUUGAUUACAUGGAUAUUUUAGUCUAUUACCUUCAGUUAACUGUUAGAGAUUCCUACCCCAAUUUCUUCCUAUAAGCUAGAUUUAGACAGUAGAACCAAAUAUAACCAUAACCGUGUACCAAGGUUCUUAAGAAUUAACAUGUCCAGCUACUGCCAAUGGCCAACAUACCUUUCAUUUUGAAAUGGAAUAAACAAAAACAUACCCAAAAAAAUGAAAAAUAAGGAAUUAAAAAAAAAAAAAAAAAGGCCAGCACAACAUUGGCAGAUUUCAAGAGUCAAAAAUUGAACUAAAUGAAUCAUAAUAGAGAGCCCAAAAUUGCCAACAACAAGUUCCAGCAGAUCAAAAUAGUUUCUUUCAUUAUAGGCACGCUUCACACUUCAGAAAAAUCUAAUUAUUGUCCAACUCGUUGUAAGCACUUAAUUUAGUACAUUACACAACGAUAUUGUGGUAAGAGUCAACUUUCCAAAAAAUCACGAAAAAAUGGCAAGCUCCAGAGAAAUCAAUAAGCCAACAGCUUCCUAUCAACAACAUGAGUGGCAAUUUAAACAGUUGAACUGCUAAAGCACCAGCUGGGAAGAAUGGGGGGUUUUAGUUUUUCAUAAUAUGGACACUACAUAAUGUAAAAUGAAACAUCCAACAACAGAGAAAUCAACAAAGGCAGAUAGCCUUUUACCACAAAAACAGUUUAGAACACAAAGGACAGUAAACAUUUCUAAAAGUUAAGUCAAAAGUAGAAGAAAGUUGCAAUAUUUUCUCAAGAGAAAAAGCAAACUACAAAUAGAAAGAUGAGCUAACCAUUUUAUAUCAACAAUGCUAACAUUUUAUAUCAACAACGCUAACAUUCUAAAGACAUUAAUAGGCAAAAAGCAAUACCUGCUUGACCUAGCAUGAAGGGCAGGCUAGAUUUCCCUUUUCUCCAGACUGUUAAACUAAGAGUGCUCAAGGCCAGCAGAGGACCUCCAAAGAACACCCCAGUUAUAAACGUUGCAGGGUUUCUGGAGAAAAUGAAGCCAACAAGGCCCCCACAUAAAACAAGUCCACCUGAUCAAAGAAACUAUCAAUAAGCGUCAUCUCCUAAAUGAUUUAAGCAUUUCACACCUCCAGUUCAUAAUUAAACAAGUACAAAGAACCUACACAACCUUCUUUUACAAAGAAUCAUUAACAGGAUUUAACCAAGGUCAAUAUGUUAGUUAAAACAGUCUGUUAUAUUUAAAACAGCAGUUCGGAACACUAGCAGUAGAAACUAUGAAACUUACCGCACCAAGAUAAGGAACAAAUCUACCCUUCAAAUUCAUUUGCAGAAGCAGAUAAGCUUAUGAACCACACAAAGAGCACUUGACAUUGUAAUUGAGACCAAAUUUUCAGCUUAUGAUACCUAAAAAUGUGCUCAUUGAAACUAUUCUCUUGCCUAAUACAAAUUUGAACAUCACAUGUAUCGACAAAACAAAUCAGAACAGGUGGAGUUCACCAUUGAAAAGAUAAGACAAAUACUGCAUCAAUCUGUGGCAAAAUGUGGUUGACACCAACACUCAACAAUUUAAAGUUGAGAAAAAUCCUAGCUAUCCACAUGGAAAGACCUAGUUUUUUCCAUUAAAUUCUUUCUUUUACAUUCUCCAGUUUUAUAUACUCUUGUUUAAUCCACUAACUGCUUUCUCUCUCAAACAUGGCAAUACAUCCCCCUUGUUAGUGAAUGAGAUGUGCACAUUUCUAGUAGACAUCAUUCUAUGAGAACCAAGCAUGCGGAAUUUUAUUAUUUAUACUUGACAUGAUUGAGAGAAAAAGCAACCCUUAGUACUUACAAUUUGUGGUGAAUUAAGAGAUAUAUUUGCUAAAGCUUCAAUCUGUGCAACAAGCUGAAGCUGCGCCAUGACCAAUUGACAUGCUUUAACUUAGUUACAGCUCAAAAAAGUACUUGCACUUUGUCAUGACAUUCUUUCAAUUUUUACACACACUGAUUAAAAUAAGACACUUUACCAUGAAUAAAAACUUACCAAAAGGAAUUCCUAGACAAAAAUCAUGAAUCUUGGCUGCCCUUAUUUGUUGGGUUGCAAUAGGUUCUUCUACAGGUUCGCUCUCCCCUUUAAUAGCUACAGGUUCUUCAGCAGUAGAAUCUACUAUCAAUGACCUUCCAUUAUGAGAUUUUGGUGCACCGUCUGUGUAAC
rnacentral:lncRNA from 1 species